rnacentral:lncRNA from 1 species
UUCCAAGGGCUUCGCACCUUCAAUUUGGUUGUUUGCAUCUUCCAGCCACUUUUUGACAUCUUUGUAAGUUUUUUCAGCAUUCCUUUCAGCAGCUUCGACAUCGUCUUGCAGACGUUCUUUUGCCGAAACCAGGUUCUGCUUUCGUUCAUUGAAUUCUUCAAAACACAUAAAUAUAGGACAAAAACAGGGAGAGAGACUCUUUGUUUUCUUAACUGUAAUGGUUUAAUAAGGUUUAUAGAGUGUUUUAUAAAUAUUUUAGAUAAAAAAUAGAUUAAAAGCAAGUUUUUAAAUAAAAAAUGAAGCUUUAUUUUUUUAUAUAAUUUAAAUAAAAUCAAUUUAUUUAGUUGUUCAAAAUUAUAACUCAAGUUAUAACUCAAGGGGAAAGACUUACAAAAAAGUAGAAUUACUGGAACAAACACAACAAAGGAUCAAACUCAAGCAAUAAAAGGUAAUUGUUUGAGGUCCUCAUUUCCUGAAAGAAAGAAAGAGGAAGAAAGUAAGGUCACGUAGGGGCCAGCGUUGUAGAAAGAAGAGAUUAUUACAUGGCAAGUGCCGAGUGCCAAAGGGUAAAAGUAUCAAUGAACAUGGCAGUAAUAAUGCCAAGUGACAAGUGACACAAACGAAGCUACCCCUUACCUACUCCAUGGAAGGAAUGUCAGACUAUACAGUCCUUUUCAAUUCAUUAAUGCCGUUCUCUGUUUGUCUUCUAAAACGUACUCCAUAUAUAUGUAUUAUUUUUUUAUUUAUUUACUAGAAAAUAAUUUUUUUAAAAAAAUAAAUUUUAAAAAAGUAAAUUAGUUUUUAAUAUUUGAUAAUGUAAUGAAAAAAUAAAUUAGAAAAUAUUUUUCAGUAUUUGGUUAUGUCAUAGAAAAUAAGCUAAAAAAUAAUUUAUUAAUGUUUUAUUUUUCUCAAGUAUAUUAAAAUAAUAAGAAACAAAUCUUACAAAUUAAAAAGUUGAAAGAGAAUAAAAUUGAAAAAAAUAAAAUUUUAUAAAUUAUCUUAAAUAAAAUAAAUAAUAAUCAAAAUAAUAGAGAUCAAAUAGAUCACGGUACUAAAGUGGUUUAGCAUAGAAGAAUCUAAAAGAAAAUAAUAACAUGUUUUUCAUAGGAUGCAUCUCUCCAAAAAUAUAUAUAUGUAAGACAUAAAUUGUGAGAGAUAACAUGGAAAAGAUCUUGUAUGCCUUGACUGUAAGAUUUAUCUCAUAUGCAAUGUUAUGUAUACAAUUUAUGUAUCUUAUGCUUUAACUAUAAUAAGCAUAACGAGGAGAUAUCAAUCUAAUUUAUAUGGAGAUCGUUUAAAAUUAGUAAAGAGUAAUUUUAAAUAGAUACCAAUCUAAUUUAUAUGGAGAUCGUUUAAAAUUAGUAAAGAGUAAUUUUAAAUACUUUAAAAGAGCUAAAAAUAUAUUUAUGAUCUAUGAAAAAGCUAAACUGGUAGCUCAUAUAGCCUUCAAUCAUAUAUUAAUGAUAACAAAUCCUAGUCUUGAUAUAUUUUUAUUUUGAAUUGUGGUGUUGUGAGUUGAAGAUUUUCUAAACAAAAAAUUACAAUAAAUUGUACAGCUAAAAUGAGUACAUCUUUGCAUCUAAAGUUGUAAAAAGGUUUUUUGGAUUAGGAAUUACAUCACUAAACUAGGUAUGGUUUCUAAGAUCAUUGAUUAAGUAGGUUUUUUUGUGAUAAUAAUGAAUUCAUUACAUAAAUAAACAAAUUAAGGUUUCAUCAAUGGUUCAAACACGUACCUAUGUAAUUCUAUUUUAUUGAAGAGAUCAUAAAAAGAAAAGAUUUAAAGAUAGAAUAACUACCUACUAAAGUGAAUCUUGCAAGUCCUACUACAAGAUGAUAUCCCAUCACAAGUAUGAUCUUCAUGUGUAGGUAUAUGGCAUCAAAUACAUGGUUGCUUGGAUUUAAUGCAACUGAGAGAUUGUUAGUGCGUAUGCUUUUUAGCUGAUUGAGCAAUUGCAUAUGAUACUAGAUUUAUUCGUGCAAUAUAUAUAUAAAGAGAGAGAAAGAGAGAAGAAUUAUUUAUUUUUAAUAUUUAUUUGAAUUUUAUUAAUUAAUCUGAAGUAAAGAUAAAGUUCUUGAGAUGAAAAUAUUUUGGAAAAAAAAUCAUAAAUUUGUUAUAAUUGCAAAGGUUUUUAUUACAUUAAAUCAUUGUCCUUAAAUAUUUCUAAUCAAUGCUCUAUUGAGACUAUAUAUUAAUCAUAGUUAUUGAUACCAAUACAUAUUAUGUUUUUCUCUUUAAAAAAGAUUAUGAAAAAAAAACAAUUGUUCUCAUAUAUUAAGGUAUAAAGGAUACUAGGUACAAAUAUUUGAGUUUUGUUUAAUGAUAAGUGCAUUGACCGUAUAAGGAUUUCAUAUGAAGAGAUUACGUAUGCAUAUAAAAAGACUAUUGUGAUAGUUGUGUAAAUAAUAAUUAUACUAAUAUUGGGGUAUUAAGGUUACUAGGUUAUUUUAUAUGAAGACUAUUAUAUUUUUAUAACACCCUAAAAUUUGCAUUUACAAUAUAAUUGAUGAUUACUUUAGAAUAAUGUAAGAUUAUAGAAAAUCAAAGGAUAAAAGCCAAAGAAAUAAAGAAAAGAAGGUUCAAAAUACAAUUAUCAACUUAAGUAGAUAAAGUAUAACAAUGAAUGGCAAUUAAGUAGAUGUCAUGUUGUCCUACAAAAUUUUCCAGUAGUAACUACAUAUCUUUUUGCAUUUUUUGAACCUAAAAGAGAGCCAAUCAUGUAUUCCAAGAAUAAAUUACGGAGUAUUAGAGCUUGUUGUAACCCAAUUUUGGAUUCACCAAGAUUUUCUUGAAUGUUAUUUUAUUUCUAUUAUUAUUUAUAAAAAUCCAAAAAAAUUAAGAAAAAGUUUAAAAAUUCAAAAAUAUAUUUUUCUCGAGUCAACCGCAUCUUUCCAUCAAAACCGAGUCUACCAGGUCAAUACGGGUCAAACCAUGUCGACCAGGAUAAAAAAAUAGUUUUCGGGCCGUUUUGGGUCAAAACCGUUAUUUUUGACCAAAACCGAGUUCACCAGGUCAAUACGGGUCAAACCAUGUCGACCAGGGUAAAAAAUGAGUUUCGGGCCGUUUCGGGUCAAAACCGUUAUUUUUGACCAAAACCGAGUUCACCAGGUCGAUACGGGUCAAACCAUGUCGACCAGGAUAAAAAAUGAGUUUCGGGCCGUUUCGGGUCAAAACCGUCAUUUUUUACCAAAACCAAGUUCACCAGGUCAAUACGGGUCAAACCAUGUCGAUCAGGAUAAAAAAUGAGUUUCAUGCCGUUUUGGGUCAAACCUGUUAUUUUUUGGUCAAAACCCGGUCCACCGGGUUUAUAUCCAUUGAAAGUUUUUUAUGUUUCAACAUAAUUUUCGGUAAUUAAAAUUGAUUUUUAGCAGUUGAAUCAGGCUUUUUCUAAUACUGAUUUAAGUUUUAAUUUUACCUAUAUAAAUAUAUAUAUUAUAUAUAAUAAAACAAAAUUAAUAAUACAGAAUUGUCAUAUUAGGCGGGGCAGUUACAUUUAUUGUAGGCGAGCAGUUGGAUGGAUACAUUUUUUAAUUUAAAGCCGAUGCUUGCUGUCCCCUUUCAUUGGCUAUAAAUAGCCAGUGACAGUGAGCCAGAAGAGGAAGAAGGAGAAGAAAAAAAAAAAGAAGAAAAAGAAAAAAAGAAAAAGAGAUACUAUUCAGGUUUUUUUUACUAUUUCUUCACGAGAGUAGGAUAUUGAUUUUUAUUAAAAACAAUAUGGAAAAUACCAAAUAUAUCCUAACCGUUAGAUCUAAUAGUGUUUAGAUCUGAAUCGUUGAUUUAAUACAUACAAUAGGGCUUAUCACACCAGAUUAAAACCCAAACACAUCUCAGCCCUUGAAAUAAUCUAAGCUUUGAUCCCGUUGCGCCACGUCACCGGGUGUACCGAGAUUUCGGUGCACCGCGUUACACCCGAUCAAACCUCCGUUCAUCCGGACCGUCCAAUCAACCUGCAGAUCGGGCCAAUCACAGCCGCACGAUCUUUCCAUCAGAGAUCCAACGGAUCACAGGCCUCAGCUGCACCGGUGUACCGUUUCAGCGUUCUCACCGUAGCGUAACCCAGAGCAUCUCUCUCCUCUCGCCGGCGACUCCCUCUCUCUCAUCCGAUCUCCACUUUCCGGUCGUCUCCAGCCUCCGCACCACCACAGAAAGGUUUCUCCCCUGCUGUAAAGAAAAACCCCGGUGGUUUUCAUCGUUUUCUCCGCCUCAUCUGGCCGGAAAAAGACCGCGAUCGUCGGCUGCCACCGAAGCUUCAAGUCGUCGAUUCUCGCUCAUCAGCCAUCAACGACCGUCAAGACCACCACCAUAAGAAUCCUCGACAUCAGAUCUACCAGGAUCGACCAUCGAUUGUCCAGAAAUAUCGCCGGAAAAUCUCCCCGCCGCCAAUAGUAGCCGCGCGUGUGCCACAUGCGCCGCCAGUGGCAUUUUCGUAAUUUUCAGAGAAAUUCGAGGGUAUUUCAGUAUUUUACCUAUACAGUGACACUCAAGUAAUUUUUUAGGUUUCUGCUGGUAUUUUUGAUAUUUUUUUUAUAUAUAAAUGGUUGUAAACUUUCUUGCAUGUUGUAAAAAAAUACAAAAACCAAAGUCGACACGUCUCUUUUUUUUAAAAGGACCGAUGUCAAAAAUGUAAAUACCAAAUAUGGCUUAUGUCCAUUAUUUGUUUUGGUAACCCAGACGUAAUUCUCCUUUUUAGGGUUGAAACGUCAUAUUUUAGACAAGUCUCCUAAUUUUUAGGGACUGGUGUCAUUUUUAACGCGUCUCCUAUUUUUAGGGACCGACGUUAACCAUUUUAAAAAAAAACAAAUUACCAAUAAACCCAAAAUAUAAUGGAUUAUAUCCAUUAUUUUUUUUGGUAACCCAGACGUAACUCUCCUUUUUAGGGAUAAACGUCAAUAUUUUAGACGAGUCUCCUAAUUUUUAGGGACUGAUGUCAUUUUUAACGUGUCUCCUAUUUUUAGGGACCGACGUUAAUCAUUUAAAAAAGAAUUACAAAUAAGCCCAAAAUAUAAUCGCAUUUUGAAUCAAACAAAAAACACACAAGUAAGGGUAACCUUUCUAUUGAAAGGAUGUUUUAAGGGUGGUGUCUACCUUCCCUUAAUCAUAACUAACCCCGUACCCGAAUCUCUGGGACCAGUGUCUAAUUUGGGAUUUCUAGUUCCCUCAAAUUACUAGAUGGCGACUCCAAUAAAAUCUUUGUUUCCCCCAAUCGAGAAAAAAAACCCUUUUUGUUAAAUAAACAAAAAAAGCGGGAGCCGUCGCCCGACGUCGUGUAUCGACAGAAUGGCGACUCCGCUGGGGACUUUAGGGUUGAGCCAACUGCUUGUGUUUGCUUUUCAUUUGCUCUUUCUUAUUGCUAUUUAUUUUUGGGCAUUUAUUUUAUUUUCAUUAUUUAUUUUAUGCAAUAUCUACUGUGAUUCUUUUCAAUUUUUCAUUUCAUCACAUACAUAUAUAUUAUUUAUUUGUGUAUUCACACACUUCACUGUGAACCCAUAAAAGCUCUGGACCCGAGCUCGUCCUUUUUAAGAUUAGAAAAGAGAGAUUCAAGUGGCAAGUGUGACUUAUGUCCACUGAUGCUCAUUUGGACUUUUGCUUGGAUUGUAACUCACCCUAUGCAACUAGUACUGUGGAGUCUUUCUCCCCUACUCAUGUUGUAUAAGGUUAAGAGGCCAAUUACUUCACGAGUAAUUUGGGCAAUCUAAGAACCGGAGAAUAUCUUUAAGGAUAGACUAAACUGAGCCAAACCUUAUGAGCUAGAUCUUAUCAAGUAGGAUAUACCCAUUAGGACACGAACAAAUGUCAAUGCAUGAACAUACAUGUUCAUAUACAUUUCAUGUGCUCAUUAAAUCUCCACCGAUCCUUACAGGAAGUGUGAGAUGGAAAAAUCCAUUACUAUUGAGGAAUUUUUGACCAGAUCAGAAUUGAGCCAGCAUGAUGAAGGGGAUUGUUUGCCAUCAGAAUUUAAGUCUCAGUUGCCAGAGCAUGUUAAAUUAGAUGACAGACCACUUGGUAUAGGACAACUGUUAGACUGCUGGGAAAAGUUAUCCUCUCAUGAUCAAGUCACUUUUCAGAAACAAUAUGGGGAUCUAUCACAUUUACUGAAAAUUAGGGUCCAACAUGCUUGUUUUCAGGCCAUGAUAGGGUUUUGGGAUCCAGAAUAUCGGUGCUUCACAUUUGAUACUGUGGAUAUGACUCCUACUAUCGAGGAGUAUGAAUCCCUGCUAAAUUGUCCCAAGUCAGAAAAGGUGUACUUUUACACACCUAUAGAGCAUGCACUUUCUAACUUUGCUUGGAUUACCCAGACAGACUGUCAAUUAGCAAAAUCACAUGCAACUAAACGAGGAAAUAGCCAGGGUUGGUUUUGGAAUGAACUAGAGGCCAUAUUCAAGAGGAGAUUACAUGAUGAAAGCAAUGAAAUUCGAUUGAGAAUUUUGGCCUUAGGGAUAUAUGGUUUGGUUCUUUUCCCAUCUGCCGAAGGAAUGAUUGAUUUUGAGGCUGUUAAUGUAUUCAAAAAUGUGGUGACCCUUAAAAUUAACCCUGCUACAGCAAUAUUGGCAGAAACUUUCUCAUCCUUGAAUUAUUGCAGAAAAGCUGGAAGGGGUCGUUUAAGAUGUUGCUUGCAGUUAUUGUUUGUCUGGACUGUGAGUCAUAUGAUUGAGGGGAAGAUUUCAGGUUUGGUUGGUACCCCGUGGCAUCUUUAUUCUCAGCUGGAGAAUUUUGCUGAAAAACACUUGCAUGAAGUAGGAAAAACCACAUGGGAAUCAAUGUUCCUAAGUCUAAGUAAAUCUCAAUUUCAUUGGAGAAGUCGAUAUGCUUAUUUCAAAUCUUAUCUGGCGUAUUGUGGUGAGUACCCAUGGGUCCCGUUGAUAGGAGCCCGUUGCUGUAUUAGUUACUGUCCUAACCUAGUUUUACGACAGUUUGGAUUUGAGCAGUUUAUUCCAAGGACUACUAAACUGGCAACAUUUUAUGAAGAUUUCAAGAUCUCAAAGAAAUUAUUGGAGUCAGUGAAGAAGGCAUGGAAACAUCCUGGUAGGGUUACUUCCGCUAAGAGAGUAGAAGGAAAAACAACUGAAGGAUAUCCAAUAUGGCAAAAGAAGAGAGGAAAAGGGUACAAAGUUCCUCCUUUUGAAGGGCCACCCAGGUCUUUGAUUCAGUCUGCUGAAGACACACACGAAGAAGUUCGCGCCCAACAAGAAUCUUAUAACCUAAGUUUGAAUGCUGAAGUGGAAGAGUUAUGGGCUAAAAAAAGAAAGUUAGAAUCUAAUCUAGCCACUCGAGAAAAAGCUUUGGUUAUCAUAAAACAGGAAAAUGAUGACUUGUCAGCUCAGCUACAACAUCAACAACUUGAUUUCCAGCAAUUACAAGAAAAAUAUGUACUUUUGUCAGAAGAUAAGACGAAGCAAGAUGUCAACAUGAAGAGAUGGGUUAGAAGAGCAUCGAAAGCUGAGGAAAUGGUAUUAAAGUUGGAAGAGACAAAUAAAUCACUUCAGGAGCAACAUCAAAAGCAAGAUGUAAUAAUUGCCAAUUUAGAUGAGCAUUUAGACCAUUUGCUUUUUAUUGAGCAAACUUUAUCAUCAGAAAAAGAAAAGGCAGAAAAAGAAGCAGAAUGUUGGGCUUCUGAAGCUAUGCGCUAUCAUGUACAAGCAGAUGAUGCCAAGAAUUAUGCUUUAGGAUUGAGAGGCCUAGCCCAACAUUGUGAAAGAUUGAAUCAUGAUUUGUUCUAUUAAAGUAAAAUAUGUGUUUGGUCUAAAUGUUAUGUUGAUAAAAUAGCACAUGAUAUGUGAAAAAAAGCUUGUUUUAGGUGAAAUUAUGGUAGCCUACAUACUACAUAUAUUGCCAUUGAGGUAGUAAAUGGAUAUGAGAUAUGAACAUUGAAUUGGCAUACAUGUAACACUUGUGCAAUUGUUAUGUCAAUAUGAAAUUGAGCCUAAAUGUUAAAAAACUUGUGAAGUUUACCAUGCUUAUUGAUCUAAUCAUUUUCUAAUUAGGAUUAUAAUUUAUAUUUUGGAUAAUAUAUUAGAAGCCUAAUAUGUCACAUAUGUUAAGAAUCACUAGUAAAAAAUUAAAUUGGAAUGUAAAAUAAUGACUUGAUUGUGAAUAAGUUUUAGAAAUUUAGGGAUUAAAAUGUAAUUUGUACAAUAUAUAUAUUACAAUUCUAAACAUAAAAAAAUCACUUAGGGACUUGAUUAAAUACAUUUCUAAUAAUUAUUAUGAAAUAAAAUAUAUGAUGUUUUGCAGUGGGAAAGUGAUGUUUUAUGGUGAUUAAUUAGGGUUAGGUUUUAAAAAUAAAAAGAAAUGCCUCAUCAUCUGCAUAUAGUUGUGUAAAACAACAUAACACCCCUAUAAAGAGAUCUACUAUAGGGUUAUUAAAAAGUUAAAAAUGAGUUAGCACUCAUUUCUUUCUCCAAAAAAGAUUUACGAGAUUUUCUAUUUGAUGAUUCAUGUUAAUUAUAGUUAAUUGAAUAGUUAGUGGUAUACAAUAACCCAACUAUGAAGAGUUUAUCAAAGCCUAAAAGAAAAAAAUAUGUCUUAGAUAAUCUUCAAUAAAAUCCUAAAUAACUCUUAACUGUUUAACAGGGACUUUAAAAAAUAAAUUGUUCCAUUCUUUUUUUUUUUCCCAGGAAACCUAGCAAUUCAUCCAUAUGAAUAUAUAUGAAAGGGGUGCCACUUUAAACAAAAGUGUAAAAACUAGUUGGAAGCAUAAGACCAUAAUAGUGCUUAAUUCAGUGAAUUUCUCGAAGUAAGAAUGUAGCUUUUAUGUGUAUUUUUUCUCGGCUGACCUUAAAAUCAACCAUGUUUUAAAACUUAGGCAAUCAUUAAUUUAGUUUAAAAAUUGCAAAAUUAACAUAAUUAAAAGUUUAAAUUGGAGGACACCUUUAAAGUUAAAACUAUAUAAUGAAUCUCUUAAAGUAAGAUCUUAUGCAGCUUUACAUGUGUAUUUUAUUCUAUUUAAACAUCAAUCAUUAAAAUGCAAUUCCUAUAAGAAAUGCAAUUGUAUGAGAUAUUAAUUAAGGCAGAAUACAUAACAUGAAGAAAACAACAAACAAAAAUAAAAAAACAAGAAGAAUCUGUACAAGGACUUACCUGAUAAAGAAGAGAGGAACGAACGAAUGGAAGGUUCACGAUGAUCACUUGAAUGGCUGCACAGAUGAUGCCAGCUCCCUGUUGAUCACUUCCCACCACAUAAAUAAUUAAUCUAAAGAGUUAUGCACAGAUGAUGCCAGCUCCCUGUAUCUAUAUGAAUUUCAUUGAUAGAAAUAUUAAACUAAUAAUUCGUUACAGUCCUUCUAAAGAAAAACUUUAUGUUAAAAAGAGGAGAAAUGUUAAAACAACAUAGUUUAGAUGGAUUAAAACUAGCAUUAUAAACAAUUGUGAGAUAAAGCGGCAAUUCCAUGAAAAAUACAAUUCGAUGACAUAAUUACGAUAGUGACGACAAUCAUAUAGAAGAACUCACCUAGUAGCAUAAAGAUUGUUGCAUUCUCUAAUCUCAAUUUCACACAAAUCGGGGAAGCAUAAAGAUUGAAGAUGAUCUCCAGGCAAUAUCUGAUCCUUUUCAUCAUCAUUAUCCCUAGCAAUGAUUUGCUCCAAUUCCUCACAGGACAAUAUCUUUAGGACUUUCAGUUGAACUAGACUGACAAUCAUGGCUACUGGGAAGCACGAGAUCCUUCAACCCCUGCAUCGAAAGAAAACAAGGAUACCAAUUUGUUAGAUAUAAUUCUUUAUAAAUUUUGUGCACUUUGAAAAUAUAUAAUUUUGGUAAAUAGAUGAACGAAUUGUCCCCACUACUUCAGCCAAAAACUUAUCAACAAAAGGAUAUAAGUAGACAUGGCAACAGGGCAUGGGAAUAUGAAAUCAUAAGCUGCAGGACUGAAACGAACAACUCAAUAUUAGCAGAUGGAGGUUUAUCUUCCUCUUCAAAUACUUCCAUUAAUUGGGGGAAGAGCCUCAAUUUCACUCAAACUGGGAAAGCAUAAAGAUUGAAAAAUCUCGAUAUCAUUUCAUUACAAUAAUUAAUUUCUUACUUCUUAAGCCCUUCUCCUUUUGAGAGAGAUGGGGGAAAGGGUCUCUUUCAAAAAACCCAGCCACCGUUCCAGACAAACAUAAUUCCUUCUCACAAACACAGAAAACAACCUGAUCUUCCAUACAAGCCAUACAAGCCAUAUUACCCCCAGUCUCAGCUACCAUCCAUCACCUUAAACACUCAGAAUUUAACAAACUACCGUGGUUUUCACCUACAAUGUUACUUUGAAAACUUCCCAAGUUGGGUCGAUUACCAUAAGCUCAAAGACCGUUUCAGAAAACAGGGCAAAGUUAUUAAGUUUGUUUCUCGGAAAACAAAUCAAGCAGGAAAGCAUUUUGGCUUCGUCACCAUCCUCUCGAAUCUGUCAGACAAAACUCUGCUAGAAUGUUUAAAUGACAUAUGGUUUGAUUCCUACAAACUGAGAGUUAAUGUGGCUAAGCACAGAAGAAAAGAUGAAGUGAUGAAACAGAAAACAGUGGGAACAGGGAAACAAAUAUCCAAGCUCAACAACAAAGCCAAGGCCCCCAUCCGUGUAAGAGACAACCGAAGCUAUCUUGAGGCAAUAAGAUCAGGGAGUCAAGUGCAUCAAGCGUCUGAUAAUGCCACACCACGUCCUCAUAACUUCAUCUCUUUCAACACUACAGAUGAGGAAAUUCUAUGGUUAAGAAAUAGUCUUAUAGGCAAGAUAUCUCAGGGAGUAGAUUAUGCACAAAUCAGACAUGGAUUAAUUCAGCUAGGCAUCUGCUUCUCUGCUGUCCGUUUCCUGGGGGUUCCCAGGCAAUCAUAAGCUUUGAUGGUGAGAAAUCUAUGCAACAAGCCAUGCAGAAAGGUAUGGAAUGCUGGAAGCUCUACUUUGAUGAAGUUGGCCCGUGGACGGAAAAAGAUGUGAUAGAGAGUCGUCUAGCAUGGAUCUCCAUCUCUCAUUUGCCUAUCUCUGGCUGGAGUCUGAGAUGUAUCUCAAACCUUUUCAUUGUUAAAGAACCAUCUCAACCCAAUAACUUAAGCUAUUAGGUAAGGUUCCAGGAUAUGAUUUGUAUUAUUCUCUAACACACCCCCUCAAGUGAAAGCUCUUUAGGCUUGAAACUUGCACAUGCCCAUAUUAUCUUGUGCUUGAUUUUUAUCAAAUAAUGGAGAUGGUGAGAUUCGAACUCGUGACCGCUUGGUCAUUAAGGCUCUGAUACCAUGUUAAAGAACCAUCUCAACCCAAUAACUUAAGCUGUUAGGUAAGGUUCCAGGAUAUGAUUUAUAUUAUUCUCUAACACUCAUGAACCAUGGACGGGUGAUAGGUUUUGACAAGACCAGCCUAAAAAUCUCUGAACUUCACAGCGUGAAAAUCCUUAUAGGUACUCACUUGCCGGAGAUCCACGACUCUAUAGAUCUCAUGCUAAACUCCAAGUUAGUACACGUACAGCUGGAUGAGAUUGACCUUUUAAAAUAUCCAGAGGCAAAAGGAAUUUCAUAUUCUAUGGCAGAAUUUCAAACCACAUUACUUCAAGGAGAAGAUGCUGACAGUGACUCAGAUGAUGAAGUGUACACUGAUCUGGCUUUUGACUUGGUAGGAGAUGACAACAUUUGCAGGCUGGCUAUUGCUGAUAAGAAUUUUGGAGCUAAUGACAAGGCACACACGCUGGAGGCAAGGAAGCACAACCCACAUGGGACAUACCAGGUCUACGAUCAUAACUUUCCGGCCACAAUAAAUGCCACUGACAACACAGAACGGCUACAUAUCAUUGUUGAAGAUCUCUUUCCAGAAAUAGCGGCUCCUAGGACUCCCCACCACUGUUUCUCUACCAACAAGCUUUCCCAAAAUCAACUCCAAGCAGAACGGGGCCUUGUCUUAUACGACGUGAAUUCAGCAAGCCCACUGUAGCAUCAAAGCAUGGCCUUUAAAAGAGACUUUUUCUCGCCACAACCUUAUACCCCUGUCAGCAAUGAUAAUUCUUUGGAAUCCCACUGCAAAGCCCAAAGCCUGCCUCUUACACCCAACCAACACCGGACCACAACAGCCAAACAACCAAGACUAAAUAAAAUAUCCUCUAUUGGGAGUCUCCUUUCCUUGCACUCUUUAGCAAGCAUAUCUUCUACAGACUCUUACAUUAGGGUGAAUAAUAACCAUAACCUGAAGAAAUCUGCAGCGGAGUCAUCUCACAAUGAAGUCAACAAAAUGAUCCAUUUGGAAGAAGCUAUUGGUCUUGGUAAUUCAGCUCUGAUGGAAAAAAUUUCUGAGCUUAUCAUAAGGCAGCUAGAAAAGGAGAGGGAAGAUUGACAGAAACAACAAUGAAUAGUGAGUUUUCAUCCCUGUCCCUGCAGAUAGAUCUUUUAAUUCUGUCAUGAAUAUUCUUUCUUGGAAUUCCUGCGGCUUGGGCAUGAUGAGGAAACGAAGAAGAAUCACAAAAUUAAUAACAGAAUAUAAGAUUGAUAUAUGUUUCCUGCUGGAAACUAAGCUAGCUAAUUCUUCCAUUGGCUUUGUAUCUCGUAUUUGGAAUGAAAAUCAUAUGAGUUGGUUUAGUAAUGAUGCUCAGGGAUCAAAAGGAGGUCUGCUUGCUAUGUGGAAAAACACUAACUUUGAAGUCUCUAAUAUUGAAUAUGGUCAUGGUUGGAUCGGUUUAUAUGGUAAACAUGUUCACAGUGAUUUUCAUUGCUUUGUUAUUGGCAUCUAUUCUCCUUGUAACUAUCAGGACAGACAAAAACUUUGGGAUGAUCUCAUUCUUCUUAAGCACGCUUUUGAAGUUCCCUGGAUAAUAGCAGGAGAUUUUAAUGAAACACUCUCUCAGAAAGACAAAAAUAGUGGAAUCUGUCAUCCUGUAGACUCAAAUUCUUUUAGCAGAUUUCUGCAGUCUUGUGAGCUCACUGAAUACCCUUUAGCAGAACGUUAUUUUACCUGGUUCAGAGGAGGGUCCAAGAGAAAAUUGGACCGUAUGUUCGCAAACACAUCCUGCUAUCUUCACUUCCCCAGUUUAUCUCUUCGACAACUUCCAAUAGAGUUCUCGGAUCAUUGCCCUUUAAUUCUAUCUAGCUUCUUGCAGGACCAUGGAUGGCAUCCUUUUCGUUUAUUGGACUGUUGGACUCAGUACCCAAAUUUCAAGCACAUUAUUGAAAACUUCUGGAAUGAUGCAUGCUCCCUUCACCCUGGCCGCUUUAAAUUUCUCAAAAAGCUCAAUCAUAUUGCAGUCAGAUUGAGGCAAUGGAAUAAGCUUGAAUUUGGAAAUCAAGAAGCUGCCCUUCAAUGAACCCUUUCAGCUUGCCCUUCAAUGAACCCUUUCAGCUAUCAACAUACUAGAGGAAAAAUGUGAAGAAGAAGGUAUAACCGACCAAGAGCAGGAGCAUUUAGACUUUUUGUUGAAAGACAGCUGGGUUCGCAACAAUCACAUUGAAUCUAUUUGGAGGCAGAAAUCAAGACAGAUGUGGUGCAAAUUGGGUGACAGAAAUAACAAGUUUUUUCACUUGAUUGCCAAUUUCAGGAAGGCUAAAUCAUCUAUCCUUAAAAUCCACCAUAAUGGUAACACUUUUGAUUCUCAGCAGGGUAUUAAGCAGGCUGCUGUGGAUUAUUUCUCUGAGCUGUAUGACUCCCCCUCUGAAAAAAAGUUGUAGUUAAAUCCUUUGGGUUUCAAAUGCCUCUCUAAAGAAUCCUUUGAAUGGCUAAAGCAGGAAAUCACAAUGGAAUAAGUGAGACGCAGUGUAUGGGGUUGUGAUGGGUCAAAAUGUCCUGGACCAGAUGGUUUCAACUUCAAAUUCUACAAAUUAGCAUGGGAUUUUAUUACUCAAGACAUCCUCGAUAUAGUCUUAAGCUUCUUCAGAACAGGAAGGCUACCCAAAGGAAUCAAUACAACCUACGUAACUCUCCUCUCCAAGACAGUAGAACCCAUAGAGUUUAAAGAUUUUCGACCCAUCAGCAUGAUUCAUGGUAUCUACAAGAUCAUUGCCAAAAUCGCAUCCAGACUGAAAACUGUUAUGCAAGAUAUCAUUAGCAUUAACCAAUCAGCGUUUAUAGCAGACCACAACAUUAUAGAUGACUUUAUGAUUGCAAAUGAGCCGGUGAGUGAUUUAAAAAAGCGAAAAGCGGCAGGUCUGAUUUUCAAGAUUGAUUUCCAUAAAGUCUUCGACUCAGUCUCCUGGGAUUACUUAGAUGAUAUCAUGGGUUAUAUGGGGUUUGGCAGAAAAUGGAGAACCAUGAUUUAUGAGUGUCGUCCUCAUCAAUGGAUCUCCUUCAAAAGAAUUCUCUGUUCGGCGAGGACUGCGUCAAGGAGACCCGAUUUCCCCUUUUCUGUUUGACAUAGCUGUUGAGGGCCUCUCGGUCCUCUUUCAAAGGGCAUCUAGUGGGAAUAUUAUCAAAUGGCUGCAAUUUGCAUUAGGAAUUUUCGUCAACCAUCUACAAUAUGCAGAUGACACGUUAAUAUUCAUCCCGACAGAUAUUGAUCAGUUAGUUCAAGUCAAAAGAAUUUUAAGAUGGUUUGCUCUGACUUCAGGCCUUUAUAUAAACUUCCAUAAAAGCUCCAUUAUUGGUAUCAAUGUUGACGAUCACUUGUGCUUGCGCUUGGCUACAUCUAUUUUCUGCAGAUCAGACCCCCUCCCAAGCAAAUAUCUUGGCAUGCCACUAGGAGCCAAUCCAUCUCAUAUCUCUACAUGGAAGCCAGUGAUAGAGAAGUUUCGUAAAAGGCUUCAUAUGUGGAAAGGGAGAUUACUAAGCUUGGCUGGUCGUCUAUGUCUCAUUAAAAGUGUCCUUAAUUCCCUGCCUAUAUAUUUUAUGUCUGUAUUCAAGAUGCCAAACGGGGUAGGCAGACUUCUUUCAUCCAUCCAAAGACGUUUCUUGUGGUGUGGAUGUACCAAGCAAAGAUCUUUCUGCAAGAUCCAAUGGAGACUAGUGAUGCGUGAUAAGAAACAAGGAGGCCUCGGUGUAGGCUCCCUUAUAUCGAAAAACAGAGCCCUGCUGCUAAAAUGAAUUUGGAGACUCUCCUCCCCAUGUACAAGUUUAUGGAAAAUGAUUAUCUUUUCGAUGUACAAUCCAGCUUAUGAGAAUGGGAUCCCAAUUUUCUACAACCAACCCUCUAAGAUUUGGAAGGAUAUUAUGUCCAUUGUUCAAACCGACGUUCACCACGUCUUCACGAAUCAUUGCAAAUUCGUGGUGGGAAAUGGCAGUUUAACAUCCUUUUGGCUAGACAACUGGAUUGGUGACUACCCUCUCAAAACAGCCUUCCCUAGGCUAUAUCUUUUGUCUUCCUCUGAAUCUACUUUGGUGGCUGACAUGGGUAGAUGGAGCAAUGGAAUCUGGCUCUGGUCCUUACAAUGGCGCAGACCUCUAUUUCAUUUUGAACAAGAACAACUAUCACUUUUAUCAUCCAUGCUGGAAUCCAAGCCAAUGUUCUGCCACAAGAUGGAUAAGAAAAUCUAGACCCUCAACAGCGAUGGCCUCUUCAGUGUAAAAUCUUGCUCCAAAAUGAUGGAUCAGCUGCUCUACGGUGGUGCCAAACCAUUCCAAUCUUCUAUUUGGAUAAAACUAACCCCACCAAAAGUGUAACUUUUCCUUUGGCUCCUUGUCCAAGACAAAGUAACCACAAGAGAUUUUCUAUUUCAGCAUGACUACCUCACUCUUCAGGAGUCAAGAUGCGCUUUCUGCAAUAAAAGCUUGGAAUCUUCAAGUCACCUCUUCAUUCACUGCCACUUCACUUGGAAUAUAUGGAUGAAACUGCUUUCUAAUCGGGGCUUUUGCAGUGUUUUUCCAAAAUCUGUUGAUGAUAUGUGCUACCAAUGGUCUUCUAUGGUUAAAGGCAAGCAACAGAAUCUCUCAUGGCAUCUUCUUUUCUCAUGAGUUGUUUGGAAUCUUUGGCUUCACCGAAAUGAUUUAUUUUUAAUGACGCUACCCCUAACUUUCAAAUUUGUUUCUCCAUGGUGCGCCAAAGUAUUGCUUUAUGGCUGAGGCUUGAUUCCAACUCUUUAGAGCUUAAUAUAAAGAAUGUUUAGUCGGGAGAAGUUGGUUUCUUAUGAUUUGUUUGUUCCCCCAUUUGUUGCUCUCCCCUAUUUCAUGCAACAGUUUUUGUGCUUUCCUUUCCUCUAUUGUUCAUUUGAUGUAAGUUAGGCUAUUAUCUUUGUAGCCUUUUUUCUUAAUAAAAAUUUCGACUAUUAACCAAAAAAAAUGCCAACAUCUUUUUAAUAAUAUGUAUCUGAUCGGCACAAUUAUUUAACUUUACAACAAGAUAGACGACUUAUAUAUAAACUUGGAUAUAGAGAUUAAACGAGUCUAGUAGAAGAAGAUGGGAUUAAAUUGAAUAAAAUAUUUCACUAUCUUUCUUCAUGGAUCGUACUUGCAAACAUGUAUGAACACAUAAUGUAUGCAUAAUAUAAAGACAACGAAAAUUAGCACAAGAAUUAGUUGAAACACACACCUUGAUAGAGACAUAAACGAAUGAUUAUGAAUGGAAGGUUCACGGUCACUUAGACACUCGCGCACUUGAUUACACCUUUCUAUCGAUCGAUUCCAACCGCAAAUAUAAUUUUUCAAGGACUUAUGUAUGUGAUGCUACUAUAUAGUUAUAUAUGGUCUCUCAAAGUUUUUUUUUUUUUUGAAUGAUGAUCAGGGAAAAAAACUAAGGACUUGAAAAGCAGAAAUAAUUGAUUGAAUGAAAAUCCUAUGUGCCACUUUCAAGGAUCAAAUUUAAGCUAGCAUCUAUAAGUAAUCUGUUUAUGAAUAUCCCUUUAUCACACUCAAGGAAUAAGGACUAUGAUUUACCCAUAUAGAAGAAAAAGAGACAUUCCUUAUUUUAAAUUUGAUUUACUUAUGAAAUAGGCUAAAGACAAUAACUUUAGCAAUCUAAAGAGAAGUUCCUCUCUUUUUUUCCUUACACUAGGCUUGUUGCAAGUGUGCGGUGUCGCAGUAAAUAUAUCCACUCUUAUAUGGUAUUUGGAAAAUCAAGAAAUGGAGAAAACAAGGAUUUAUUAUUUUUUUUCGGUGGAAAGAGGGAAUGAGAAUCACCACCUAGUAUUUUGAUAACUAUGAACCUUAAUUGUUCUCAGAGAUCGGGCACGGGAAUUGGUUGCGUAAGGAAAAAGUAUUAGCACUCUAAAUACUUCUUACCAAAUGUAAGUUGCAUGGUUUAAUUGUCUAAUUAAACUAGUUGUCUGAUUGUUGGGUUGUCUAAGGUUGAAAACAAAUCCUUCUCAGUAAAUAGAUCCUUAUCUUAUCGGGUAAAAACCUAACCGUUUUAAUGUCAAUAAAAACAAAACUCCCCUUUUAAUAUUGGAUAUAUGUCUUAUAUAUAAGUUUGUAAUCCCAGAUAUUAAAAGAAAAUAAAAUAAUUUUUUGAUAUUUUAGAAAUAUUGGCCUAUCUUAUGGCUUUAAUAAACCAGUUAUUAAAGCAAAAAAUGCAUGCUAAAACAUAUUUUUUGAAUUUUUUAUUAUAUGAAAAUUUCUUAUAAUAUGUGAGAGACGUGGUCGUAUAUAUGAAAACAAAACACUUUUUUUGUUGUUUAGAUUUUUUUUACGUUUCCUAGAAAACCGAGUAUUUUAAUACCAUAUUUGUAUCUUUACAGUAUAAAAAUACAAGUCGAUAUUAAGCAAAAUUGGUAGAAUUGUUUUUUGAGAAAAUCACAUAUUUUUUUAAAAGGAUUUUUGGAAUUUUUUUUAAUAUAAUAUACAAUAUUAUAUAAUAUUAUAUUAUAAUAAUGGAAUGGGUCUGGCCUAGUUGUAUGGGUUGGGCCUAUCCUUGUUGAGUCAAUACUAGCCCAAGAGAGAUUGGGUUGAGGUAUGCCUAGAAAAGAAAAUAGGACGAAGCGGGUCCAAAGAGUUGGGCCAAUAUCGGCCAAAAACAGGUGUUGGGUCGAUGUCGGCCCAACAAAGACUAUUUCAAAGGAACUGGGGUGGACCUGACCCAAUGGAUUUUGGUUUUAGACAAACCCGGUUCAGCCCAUAAACAGUGAACUUUUCAUUGUUCACUAGCAGAAUAGUGGAGAUGAUGCCGAAGAAGGAGAAGAAGGAGGAGGAAGAAGGGAGGGCGGGAGCUUACCUAAUGGUGGCUCACGAUAGCGUUGGUGGUUCUUCUUCCAAACAAGGUGGUUGUGUAUCGAGGAGCCGCUUCGCCGGUGGUUCUUCUUCUUUUUCUCUGUGUUUUUUCCUUUGUUUUAUUUAUAUUCUUUCUCCUCUCUAUUUCUCUAUCUUCCUUCCAUUUUUGUUCUUCUUUAUUUGUUCCUUUUUUUUCUUUUUUUCUUUUUUUCUUCUUCCCUUUCGUUCCUCUGUUCUCCCUUGUUCUUCUUUCUUUUCUUUUUCGUUUAUGUUUUUCAUUCUUUUCUCUCCUCUUUCUUUGUGUUUCUUUUAUGUUUUCUAUUUUUCACCUCUUCCCCCCCCCCUUUUUUUUUUCUUUAUUUCUUCUCCUAGUCCUCCCCUGUAUUUAUAAGGGGUAGGAGGAGAGAGCCACCUUACCCUACUUAAUCACGUCAAAUGGGUAAGGUGGUCGGGCGGCUAAUGGGCUGCCGCACGUAGGGCUUGUCCCCCUUUUUUUUUUCAUCUUGGUAGGUCAUGGGUAUAGGUUGUGUUGGGUUUUGGGUUUUAGGGAGAGAGAGGGAGAGAGAAACAGUUGUUGCAAAGGAGGGGAAGAAAAACCUUUUCCCCCCUGCCUAUACAUGUUCAUAGGAAGAAGCUCGUGAACAGUGUCAUCAAAACGACAUCAUUUGCACCUUUUAUUUUUAAGGAAUAGUGCAUGAAACGACAUUGUUUUGAACAAAAUGUGUCGUUUCAUUAAAAUGAAAAAUGGCGCCAAAGAAGUGUCAAAUUCUAAGUCAAUCCUCAAUUUUUUAUUUAUUCAAUGAAGUCCUUAAUUGCAAUUUUGAUUUUAAGAAUUAAUUCAAUUACAUCCCUGCCAAAUUUAAAUUCUAAAUCAAUUCAAUUUUUAUUUUGAUCUUUGGCCUCGGAUUUAUGCAAUUUAAACCCUAAUUAACCAUCAAACUUUUAAAUUUUUUCAAUUUAGCCCUUGAUUCUCGUCAAUUGGAUCCCUAGAGUUUUUAAACUUUAAUUGUUUCGAAUGACAUCAAAAUUGAGUAUUUAAACACCUAAAAAAGAACAUUUUUACUAAUGAGUUGUGUAAAUUAAAACUGUGGAUUACCAUUUUGGCCUACUAAUUUCACUUGGCAUUUAGGUCUUUCUGGACAUUUUAUUUUAGGCUUGCUUCAAGUGUAUUUCCUUGCAUUUAUUUUAUUAUUUAUUAUUUUAUUAUAAAAUGGAUAACAUAGAUAAUAAUCAAUCACAUAAAAAUACACAAUGAUUUAGGGGCACACACAACUAUAAUAGUUUAUUUCCUUUUAAAUGAAUCCUAAAACUUUGUCCCUACAGUUAAUAAGAGCUUUCUGAAUAUGAUUUCGGCCAUUUUAGUAGUCUCAACAUUUCAUAAUUAUCCUUCUCAAAACACAAUUGACGUGAGUAUCUUUUUAAUCUUCGUCGAUACAGUUGACUCUAAUAUAUAUUAGUCUUUUAUUUUUUUUAUUUUUUAUUUUUUUUUGUAAAAAAAAUAAAAAUAAAAAGAAUAAAAAAUUGAAUUAUGACAAUAACAAUUAAAUUCAAGGAUAAUGUUACUUUGAUCUACUAUAAGAAUUUAAUUUACUCAUUUAACCCACAAAAUCAAUAUUAAUUAACUCAUUUAUACCACAUUUAACAAUUUCAACCCAAACAGUCCUAAUUGUCAUUAAAAUAUAAGAAUUUAAUUUAUUCCUAAUUAAAAAUAAUUAUUUCUAUUUUUAUAAAUUUUUCUUAAAAAGUAAUUAAAAUAAUUGUUUUUUAUCAAAUUUUAAACAAUUCAUUCGUAUUUCAAUUCAUAUAUUUAUAAGAAUUUAAUUUUUUUAAUUAAUUUUUAAAUUUCAUUCCAAAUCUACAAUGUAAAGAUUAAACUGGAUUAUUGUAAAAAUCAAUAGGAGGUCUUGCUUGUUGGAGCUAAUAAUGCCCUCUUUUUUGGCAGCAUAUUCAUGUGGUUUUAUUUAAUUUCUCUGGUUAGUUUAUAAAUUUAUUUUGUUGGUUUCAACAUUAAUUUAUUUCAAACCAAUUUUCUUAUCAAAAUUUUGAGAGUUUUAAAUAAGAAAUUCUAUGUUGUUGAAUUUGUAAUCAUAAUAUUUACCACAUAAACACAAAUAUAAGAAUAAGAGAUAAAUAUAAAAGAGGGGAUUUUUUAAAAUAAUAUUAUCAUUUCUUAUAAAAUUGAUUUUUUUUUUAUUUUUUUAUAUAUCUAUUCUCUUCUAUACUAUAAAUAUUAAUAUAUAGAUAUAAUAACAUAAAAAAGUAGAGAUCCGAACAUAAAAAAUUAUUAUUAUUAUGGGAUAAACUAGCAUGAAAUCUAGAAAUGGAUAAUGCUGGUAAGCCCAACACAAAGCGAUACCCAAUGGAGUCCAACUAAGGUAGUAGAAAGGGCCGAAUCCAACUAAGGUAGUAGAAAGGGCCGAAGGGACUCUUUUUACAAGGAAGCUGCCACAUUUUAAAAUAAGAACUAGAACACUUCAAAAGUUUUUUUUUUUUUUUAAAAAUAUAUUUUUUUCUUUACUUUAAAUUAAUAUUUUUUUGGUAUUUUUAGAUCAUUUUAAUACGCUGAUGUCAAAAAAAUUUAAAGAAUAAAAAAAAUAUUAUUUUGAUACAUUUUCAUGCCAAAAAUACUUUAAAAAGUAAUCACAACCAUUCUCCCAAACACGUUUAUAUAUUCAUCAAGAAACAUGAAAACAAUAAUGGAUGAAGUUCAAGAAAGAGAGAGAGAAAAAGAAUUCAAUGCAUCAAAGAUUGAAUACGUUAGCUAUGGUGGUGAGCAUCACCUACCAUUAAUCAUGAAUCUUGUCGAUCAAGAACUUAGCGAGCCUUACUCCAUCUUCACCUACCGUUACUUUGUUUAUUUUUGGCCACAACUUUCUUUCUUGGUAAGUGUGAUUCUUUUCUUCUUUUAUGUUGUUGGGAUUUUUUUUUGUGUUGUAACUGUGUUUUUGUUGGUGGGUUUUCAAUUUCAGGCAUUUCACAAAGGCAAAUGUGUAGGGACUGUUGUUUGUAAGAUGGGGGAUCAUCGGAAUUCAACUUUUAGAGGUUACAUUGCUAUGUUAGUUGUCAUCAAACCUUAUCGAGGAAGAGACAUUGGUAAUGGCUUCUUCUUCUUCUUUUUAGAGGUUAAUAUAUAUUAGUGAUUAAAGGAAACCAGGGCACUAAAGAUUGGUUGAGGAGGUUAAUAAGUACGAAGAUUGAAAUUUGACAAUAUCUCUCUCUCACUUGCCUGAAAACACCAACACAACUCACAUUCCCCUCAUGGCCUACCACUGUGAUGAAAGAGGUAGAGGGGACAAGCCUUGUGGGUGGCCCUAGGAUGGCUACAUAAUGGCCGCCCAACUUCUUCACCCCUUUGGCAUGACUGGACAGAGGUAAGUUAAGUCUCUUUCUCCUUUCCCCUUAUAAAUACCCCCCUCACCAGGAGGUGAGGGGGAGGACGAAAAGAGUGAAAAAAACAGAAAAAAAAACAAGGAAAAACAGAGAAUGAAAGAAAAAGAAAGUUUGAAGCGAAUAAACAGAAAAGAAAGAGAGAAGAAAGAAGAGAAACAAAGAAAAAAUAGGAAAACAAACUCCUCGGCUUCCUACCAUCUUUUUUUCCCUUACCAAUGUCGAUACACGACGUCAGGCGAUGGCUCCACUUUUUGUUUAUUUAACAAAAAGGUUUUUUUUCGAUUGGGGGAAAUGAAGAAAUCCCAAAUUAGACACUAGUUCAAGAGAUUCAGGUACGGGGUUAGUUAUGAUUAAGGGAAGGUAGACACCACCCUUAAAACAUCCUUUGAAGAGAAAGGUUACCCUUACUUGUGUGUUUUUUAUUUGAUUCAAAUGCUAUUGUCUUUUGAGCUUAUUUGCAAUUUUGUUUUUUUUUUAACGUCGGUCCCUAAAAAUAGGAGACACGUUAAAAAUGACAUCAGUCCCUAAAAGUAGGAGACUCGUCUAAAAUAUUGACGUUUGUCCCUAAAAAGGAGAGUUACGUCUGGGUUACCAAAAGAAAUAAUAAUGGACAUAAUCUAUAUUUCAUAUUUAAACUUUUGACACCGGUCCUUUUUCUGUAAAAAGAGACGUGUCGACAAACAAUAUUCAUUUAUAAAACAAAAAUUAUUUUGAUAUCGUUGAGAAAUGGGUUUAACCAUACUUGAAAAUUAGGCUUUGGACCCACGAACGAUGACAUGAUAAGAUGGGUGUUGGACCCAUGUCGUUAUUCCUUUUAUAUUUGUUUUUUUUCACAUGCAAGAAAAUUUACAAGUAUUUAUAUAUAUAAAAAUAUCAAAAAUACCAUUAGGAACCCCAACAAAUUACCUGAGUGCCACUGUAUAGGUAAAAGACGGAAAUACACUUGAAUUUCUUGGAAAAUUACGAAAAUGCCCCUGUGGCGCGUGUGGCUCAUGCUUGGUUACUGUUGGAGGCGGUGAAAUUUUCCGACGAGAUUGCCGACCAACAAAUGGUUGAUUCUGGUAGAUCUGAGGGAUAGGAUUCUAAUGAAGGUGGUUUCGACGGCCGUUGAUGGCUGACGAGGGAGAAUCGUCGGUUUGAAGCUUCGGGUGGCCGACGAAAUUGCGGCCUUUUUCCGGCCAAAUGGGGAGGAGAAAACGCUGAAAGCGGCCGGGGUUUUGCUUUAUAGGAGGCUAGCAACCUUUCUGUGGUGGUUAGGAGGCUUCACACGGCCGGAAAUUGGAGAUCGGAUGAGAGAGAGAGAGAAUUGCCGGCGAGAGGAGAGAGAGACUCUGAGGUUUGGCGACGGUGUGAAUGCGAGCAUGGUACACCGGUGCAGCUGAAGGCUGUGAACGGUUGGAUCGCGGAUGAACUGAUCCUUCGGCUGUGAUGGGCUUGAUCUGCAAGUUGAUCAGACGGUCCGGAUGGGCUGAUUUUUGAUCUGGUAUGGCGCGGUGUACCAAGAGCUGGGUACACUGGGUGACGUGGCACAACAAGAUCGAAGGGUAGAUUGUUUUAAGGGCUGAGAUGGUUUCGGGUUUUAAUCUAGUGUGGUAAGCCCUAUUGUAUCAUAUUAAAGCAAAGGUCUAGAACUAAACACUAUUAGAUCUAACGGUUAGGAUAUUUUUGGUAUUUUUCAAAUUGUUUUUAAUAAAAACAAUAUCUUACUCGCCUGAAGAAAAACUGAAAAAAACUCAAAUAGUAAUAAUUCUCUUCUCUCUCUAUCUUUUUUUUUCCUCUUCUUCUUCUCCUUUGUUCGUGUUUUCACUGGCUAUAUAUAGCCAAUCAGUAGGGGACAUCAAAAUCUCAACAUUAUCUACUUGCAAGAAAAAAAAAUCGUCGGUACAACUGCCCGCCUGCUAUGACAAUAAAAAUGUUUGCAUUAUUGAUUUUGUUUUAUUAUAUAUAAUAAUAAAUAUUUAUAUGGAUAAAACUAAAAAUUUAAAUCAGUAUUAGAAAAGCCUGUUUCAACUGCUAAAAAUCAAUUUUAAUUACCGAAAAUUAUAUUGAAACACUAAAUAAAAACUUCCGAUGGGUAUCAACUCGGUGAACCGGGUUUUGACCAAGAAUAACAGUUUUGACCCGAAAUGGCCUGAAACUCAUUUUUUAUCCCGGUCGACAUGGUUGGAACCGUAUUGACCGGGUGGACUCGGUUUUGACCAAAAAUGACGGUUUUGACCCGAAAUGGUCUGCAACUCAUUUUUUAUCCUGGUCAACAUGGUUUGACCCGUAUUGACCUGGUGGACUCGGUUUUGGUCGAAAAUGAUGGUUUUGACCCGAAACAGCAUGAAACUCAUUUUUUUACCCUGGUCGACAUGGUUUGACCCGUAUUGACCUGGUGGACUUGGUUUUGAUUGAAAGAUGCGGUUGACUCGAGAAAAAUAUAUUUUUGAAUUUUACACUUUUUCUUAUUUUGGUUUUGGAUUUUUAUGAAUAAUAAUAAAAAUAAAAUAACAUUCAGGAAAAUAUUGGUGAAUCCAAAAUUGGGUUACAAUAGUUGCCCCCUCUUUACAAUGCUUACGAUGCAAAGACAUUGGAAAAUUCAUUUUCUUUUGACUUUGCAUAGUAAGUUUUGUAAAGAAAAACGAUGGCGGUGUUGAAAAAUACACAGAUUUUUCAGUUGGUCUAAUUCUUAUGGGCGACCUGCCUAAGUGAAAAACAUGAAAGUGUUUUCAAUAUUGAUAUAUUUUUUUGUGAACUACUCGUUUGUGAAAUACAUGAAAGUGAUUUCAACCUCGGUCUUGUAAAAUACUUGAAAGUGAUUUCAACAUUGGUAUUGCGAAAUACAUGAAAGUGAUUUCAGUAAUAGUGUUGUGAAAUACAUGAAAGUGAUUUCAGCAAUGGUUUUGUGAACUGACCCGUUUGUGAAAUACAUAAAAAUGAUUCAGCAUUGGUUUGUGAAAUACAUGAAAGUGAUUUCAACAAUGGAUUUUGUAAAAUACAUGAAAGUGAUUUCAGAUAUAUGUUGUGAAAUACAUGAAAGUGAUUUCAGCAAUGGUCUUAUUUUCCAGGUGAUCAACCUGCUUGUGAAAUACAUGAAUGUGAUUUCAGCAUUAGUCUUGUGAAAUACAUGAAAAUGAUUUUAGCAAUGGUUUUAUGAAUAGAUGAAAGUGAUUUCAGAUUAGCCUUGUGAAAUACAUGAAAGUGAUUUCAGCAAUGGUGUUGUGAAAUACAUGAAAGUGAUUUCAACAAUGGUUUUGUGAAUUGACCCGUCUGUGAAAUACAUGAAAGUGAUUUCAACAUUGGUUUUUGUGAAAUACAUGAAAGUGAUUUCAACAAUGGAUUUUGUGAAAUACAUGAAAGUGAUUUCAGAUAUAUGUUGUGAAAUACAUGAAAAUGAUUUUAGCAAUGGUUUUAUGAAAUACAUGAAAGUGAUUUCAGAUUAGCCUUGUGAAAUAUAUGAAAGUGAUUUCAAUAAUGGUUUUGUGAAAUACAUGAAAGUGAUUUCAGCAAUGGUUUUGUGAACCGACCCGUCUGUGAAAUACAUGAAAGUGAUUUCAACAUUGGUUUUUUUGUGAAACACAUGAAAGUAAUUUCAACAUUGGUCCUAUUUUCCAGGUGACCACCCCGAUGAUAAAAUGCGAGGAAACUCGCAAGUGGUCUAAUUGUUCCAGGCGACCAACCCGAUGAUAAAAUUCGAGGAAACUCACAAGUGGUCUAAUUGUUCCAGGCGACCAACCCGAUGAUAAAAUUCGAGGAAACUCACAAGUGGUCUAAUUGUUCCAGGCGACCUGCCCGAUAUUGAAAAAGAAUGCGAAGAAUUUCACGAGUGGUCUAAUUGUUUUAGGCAACCUGUUUGAUAUUGACGAUGAAUACAAAGAAUUUGGCGAGUGGUCUGAUUGCUCCAGGCGACCUGCCCGAUAGUGAAGAAGAAAGUAAAGAAUUUUGCGAGUGGUCUAAUUAUUCCAGGCGACCUGCCCGAUAGUGAAGAAGAAAGCAAAGAAUUUUGUGUGUGGUCUAAUUGUUCCAGGCGACCUGCCCAAUAGUGAAAUACUUGAAAGUGAUUUCAAUAUAGGUUUUUUGAAAUACAUGAAAGUGAUUUCAAUAUAGGUUUUUUGAAAUACAUGAAAGUGAUUUCAGCAAUGGUUUUGUGAACCGACCCGUUUGUGAAAUUCAUGAAAGUGAUUUCAGCAUGAACUUCAGGGUUGAUGAAAACUUCUAAAGGAAGUCAUACUUUUACGGUUGAGAUCUAAUUUGUAAAUCGAUCUCAGAGAUGAUGAAAGCUUCUCAAGAAAGUCUUAUAUCUACGGUUGAGAUCUGAUUUGUAAAUCGAUCCAAGAGAUGAUGAAAGCUUCUCAAGGAAGUCCUGUAUGUACGGUUGAGAUUUAAUUUGCAAAUGGAUCCCAAAGAUGAGGAAAUCUUCCCAAGGAAGUCUUGUAUGUAUGGUUGGGAUUUGAUUUGUAAAUGGAUCCCAAAGAUGAGGAAAGCUUCUCGAGGAAGUCUUGUAUGUACGGUUGGGAUUUUGAUUUGUAAAUGGAUUGCAAAAGAUGAGAAAAGCUUCUCAAGGAAGUCCUGUAUGUACGGUUGGGAUUUUGAUUUGUAAAUGGAUCGCAAAAGAUGAGAAAAACUUCUCAAGGAAGUCCUGUAUGUACGGUUGGGAUUUUGAUUUGUAAAUGGAUCCCAAAAGAUGAGGAAAGCUUCUCAAGGAAGUCUUUUAUAUACGGUUGGGAUUCGAGCUUCUAGUAAAUGAUGGUUGGAGUAAAUCCUCAAUAAAUCAUAUAGCAUUUGGCAAAAGACAUCAUCAACUUCUUUCAUUUCCAAUACUUUCAAAGUUCUCAACUUUUGAAGCUUUAACCAUGUCUUCUUCUUCUUCUUCUAAUGCUAACCCAAACCCUGUUCCUGCAGUAGAGGCUAUAGUUUGGUGCGCUACCUUUGAAGUGAAUGGUCGUCCAGUUACAAUAGAAGAUACUGUAAUGGACAAUGAAGAUACUGCUAUAGCUGUGGCUAGAGAUAUGAUCCUUCCCCGUGAUGAAACAAUGCUGGCAGCCAGGACCGAUAUUGAAGCAGUGAAUCAGUCACUUGCUCUCAGUAUCAGAGCUACUUCAUCUUUGGUGAACAUUGCAGAGCGUCUUCAUGCCAGAGGACUUGAGUAGAAUACUCAAUUUCCUGAUCUCCAUCAUCAGAUCGAGAAUUUACGGAAUAGACUCCGUGAUGGGAGACGUCACAGAAACAACUUGGAGAGGAGAAACCAAGAGCUAAAUGCACGUGUUGACUUUUGGAGGGACUAUGUUAACACACGACACCACGGGUUCGAGGAAGAGAUAGAGCGCAUGCAUAAGCAAUUUGAGGAAUUUCGAGGCAUGAUUAAUCAUCAAGAAGAAAAUAUCCCCAAUCAUCCUCGCAUUGUUUAACAUUUGUACUUGCAAACUUUUUUUCUGAAUAAAAAUCCAUCUUUCUUGUCUUCAUUUAUGAAUUUUGCUUUUAUAGAAUUGCUAUAUUUGAUGUGAUUUAGAAGAAUCUUCAUUUCAUUUGAGUCUCAUUGGAUCCCGUUGGGAAUUUUGUUUCGUGAAAUAUCUGCAAAACAAAUAUGCAAUACUCGUGAAUUGUUCUCUGAUUGAUUGUGUGCACCGUGCCAACACCCAUCAAGAUUGUCAAUCGGUCAUGAACUUGCCUCUAGUUGAAACAUACCCUUCAAGUAUAUGCGGUUAUCCACCUUCAUGGAAUUGUCAUGUCUUUCAGACCUGCAUCUCAUACUUUGCAGUAAAACGCUCAUCGUUGUAUCCUCAGUUUCUUUCUCAAUAAGUUCUUCUCAGCUCAUCUAAUCAAAUUGUGAAAAGAAAUUCCUCGGCCUCAUCAAUGAUAUUGCUCUUAUCACCCAUACUCAUGUGGUGAAGUGCGCAUUUGAGCUUUAAAACAGAUGGUCCCAUGGUUAGUCUAGGUGGGUGUGGUGCAUCCUUCCAACAUUCAUUCAAAAGCAAUCAUGUGAUAACAUCUUUCAAUAGUCAUAGCCAUAUUGGAGAUGAUAAACCAAGAUGAAGAUAUGAAGACGUCAUUCAUGUACACCUUUACUCUCAAUUGUUGUCGGGGUUUACUGGAUCAUAAAUUGUUCUUGAACAUCAUUGCCCUUAAUUGAUCUGAAUGUGCUCAUUCACUGAUUAUCUUUCUUUGAACGAUAUUGUCUUCAAUUCAUUGAUUCAUCAUUUGAUCAUCUCUACCCCCCAGUUGAUUUAAAUACUAUUUGUUUUCCUUCUCGGAGGUCCAUUGUAUUGCCCCCAGAAGUGUCAAGAAGAAUUGAUGUCAUUUCUGUCAGGAAUUUACAAACUCUGUCGAUGUUCUUCUUAUUUGAAAAUCUUUUUUAUUUUGGAAUCAAAUCUCACAUUUCAAAGGUCAUGUCUAUUCAAGUCUGAUUGUUGAAAUAAAAUCAGAGAGAUGUCAGUUUUUGAAAGUAUUUUUGGAAAUCAAGCUUUGUCGGUCAAAGAUCCAACACACGCUAUUCAAUGUAGUCCUUUGAUUGUCUUGUAUUUUGAGAGAGAGAGAAAAAAAUUGACUCAUUGUAAGAUUAAAAUGGCUUUUCCCAUGGUUCUUUGUAUCCAUUUUAAACUAAAAUUUUGGGUAUAUCUUUUGAUUGUUUGUGAUGAGGUGACCUUUUAUGAAUUUCAAGAAAAACAAGGUACCCAAGUCAAAACUUAAGGCUUUAUCAAGAAAGACUGUUUCUUUUUCUUAGCACCAAUUUUAUCAGCAUGCAUAAUAAUUAGUAACUUGAUUCAUGAAGUCAUGACCCUUAAGAAGCUUCUUGUGAUGAUUUUGAGGGUGUAAAUUCCAUUGAUGGAAGGAAUUCUAUGUCUUGAAGAGGAGCUUUGUGGACACUGUUGAAAACUUUCUUUGUAUUUUCUUCAAGGUUUCUCAAAGUCACCGUCUUCUUUGCCAGUGCCUUGCUUAACUUGAAUUUUUGUAUCCAAUUUGGACACCAAGUAAAGAAUUUGCCAUGUUUUUCUAUUUCAUUUUCCAAACAAUUCACAGCUUCAAUUUCGUUGUUCGCAUCUUCCAGCCAUUUGCUGACAUCUUUCUCAAUUUCUUCAGCAUUCCUUUCAGCAGCUUUGACAUCAUUUUGUAUAAGAUCUAGUGCGAAAGCCAGGAUCUGCUUUUGUUUAUUGAAUUCGACAAAAAAAUAUUUGAAACAGAACAUGUAACGAAACUUCCUUAUUGCUGGUUCCAGCAAGAGUUCUGCUAUCUUAGAUAUAAUGGAUUCACCAACACUUUCGAUAGCCAUUUUCUGCCGGUCUGAAAAUCAGAGACCUAAGGAUAACGACUGUGAGAGUGAGUCAUUACAAGUAAAAUUGGCAUUGAGAGAAUGAGAAUAAAAAUUUUAUUACCUUAAUUUGUGAAAAUAUGUGCGAAAAUCAUUGGUAUUGAUUGCUCAAUAAUAAAAUAUAGCGAGGAACAAAAGGAGAAGUCCUUUAGCUCUAUAUGAACCCAUCUUCCAAAGCAAGAAGGGAAGGUAUAAAUAUAGCAAUAAAAAGAUAGAAAUAUACCUUAUUUAUUUUUUAAAAAAUUACCCUAGUAUUUUAUAGUUUAAUUGAAGUUAUAUUUGCUUACCGAGUUUUGAAACUUAUGAGGAAUAUAUUUCAUAUUCUGGAGAAUAUACGGAUGAGUCAAAGUCGCUGAAUCAAAAUUCAUGCUUUAGAGAGUUUUGAAUGCUUUACAGGACCAGUGAAAUAUUGAAGUGAGGAGGGUUCAUAUCGAUUCCAUAAAGUUAAAAAACAGAUCAACUUUUCUUACCCUACUCAUAAACAACGUUGACAAAUUUACGGCAGAUCCCAUAGAAAUAACAUUCUGACACCCCAACAAGUCAGAUCCCAUUCUUACACACCAGUUGCUGAGUUGCUGGAGCCAAAUUCGGGUAACAAAUUAUCAUAACCAACUGAUCCAUUUCGGCUCGGAGGCUUCAGUUUUGUACCAGUCAUCAACUGGUGCUCUUUGCUUUGCAGCCUUUGAGGAAGAAGUAAAAGCCUCCAAAAAUAUCAUCAUUAUUAUUAACAGAUGAACUAGACCCGUUUAACCCACCAAAAUAUAUCAUCAUUAAAAGAUGAUUUCGCACUCGUAUUUUUAGUACUGGAAAACACAAAAUCAUAACCGAAAUCAAACCCAGUGCUAUUUUGUUUUUAAUUCUUUUGAAAAACAUCAAAAAUGUCAAAAUCAUCAUCAAAAUUCUAUAAUUUUGAAUUGCUAAAGAGAGUUUCGUGAUAAUCCAUGAAAGACCUAUCAAAAGAAUUGGAAAUGAAGGUUAAUUUAGAAGAAUAUGAGGAGGGUUUCUGGUUUGAUGGAGGGAAAUUCAAAUAACAAAACUGGCUAUAUGUUUCUUUGAGGAUGAAACAUGCAAGAGAUUCCACCACCAGGACAGACAACAACACUGAAACACAAAUCCACAUGAGAAAUCAAUUUUAAUAGUAAUUUUAUUUUUAAAUUUGAAAAAAAUUACAAGUUCUUCACUGUUUGUUAUUGAAAAGGAAGAGAGAGGGGGGAAAAUGUUAUGUUUUUAGAUGUUUUUGAAUUAUAGGAUGCUAGGGAAAUAUAUAUAUAUUUCCCUAGCAUCCUAUAAUUCAAAAACAUCUAAAAACAUAACAUUUUUCCUAUAUAUAUAUAUUUAUAAAAGAAGAAGAAGAUAGUGUUAAAAAAUCAAAGGGAGCUUUUACAAGAAUACUAUUAUCUUUUUUCUUUUCUCAAAAUCAAUAAAAAAAAUUUCAUUGAAUGAAAAAUAGUAUAUCAUCAAUCUAAUGACUACAUUUAUCUUUACAAUCUUCCAAAGAAACAACUUUAUGUUAAAAAGAGGAGAAAUAUGAUAACAAAAUAAUUUUUAUUGAUUCAAACUAGUGUAAGAGACACUUGUGAGUAAAAGUGUCAAUUCCCAUAAAAAAAAAUGCAAUUUGAUGACAUAAUUAAGGUGGUAAGACUAAUACAGACACUAACAAACAAAUAAAAAUAAUAAUUUGUACAAAUACUCACCUAGCAAAGAGAUGAACGGAUAAAAGGUUCACCACGGUCAAUAUUUUUUUAUUUUUCUUGGUUUAUUUUUUUUUGUUUUGAAAAUGAUGAAUAAUGGGAAAAGAAGAAGAAGAAGAAAAACUUGCAAAGAAGCACUAUUAAUGGAACUAGGUUAUGAUGACAAUCCCUGUAUCACACUCUCAAAUGAUAUAAUUUAUCCAUUAUAUUUUGCAUUAUAUAUAUAAACUAAAAGAGCUAGGCUUUUGAUGGCAUCCAAGUGUAGUUGCUUUUUCAUCCCACUUUUUUGGUUUUAUUUUAUUUCAAUCAUUUAAUUUUGUUUUUGCUAUUUUAUCAUGCUUAGAGUUGUCUUUUUCAAUUUGAUUUGGUGCCAGCUUGGGAAUCACCAUUUUAAUUGUGGUUGUGAUUUCUAAUUGUUUGAUAGUAUUUCAAAAGCUGAUAUUAUAGCCUCUUCUAUAUGUUAUUUUCAGAAGUUACAAUUUAUAGCUUUUCAAAAGCCAUAAUUGCCUGUUUGUUUCUGCGUUUAAAAAACAUUUUAAAAAAAAAUUAAAUUUUUUUAAUUUUUUAUUAACUUUAAAUUAAUAUGUUUUUAGUAUUUUCAAAUCAUUUUGAUGUGCUGAUAUCAAAAAUAAUUUUAAAAAAAUAAAAAAACAUCAUUGGCAUGCAUUUUGACACGAAAAGUUAUUUGAAAAACAACCGUAACCACAUUGUCAAAUUUCCAAAUAAAUUCUUGAUAGAGGGUUGUUUUGAUCUUGAGUGUUGUGCUUGCAAAGGAAUUACAAUUACUUUACACAUUAUAAUUAUAAAUUACUGUUUAAAACAAUUAAGAGAAAGGACCAAUAAUAUAGAGUGAGCAAAUGAAAGCAUAAAUUUAGAUUUUAUUGUGACAUAGAGAUUAGGUAAUUCAUGAAAGUUGGUAAUAAUAUACUGUGAGCAAAGGAACCUGCUCGAAAAAACCAUUCAACAUGAGAUUGCUCUGCUAGGAAAACAUGAUAUCAGCAUCAAACUUUUGAACAAAUAGUGGAGCAUCAAGUCUCAGUCAUCUUGAAGUAUGUCGACAACAAGUCACAUAAGCAUAUGCAAUAGAAACAGAGCAUCAAACUGACAGAGAAAACAUACUGAUACCCUUAUUCACACAGAAAACAUACUGAUAGAUAAGUCGAAAUCUUCUAUGGUAAAUAAGACUGUUACAAUGUGAAGCCAAUUUGUAUCCCGUUGCCAAUGGAACAGUAGGAAUUACUUCCCACCAAUCAAAAACAUAUCUGCAGCACCACAGCUCAAAGACAUGAAUCUCCGUGAAAUCGCCUAUUGAGGAGUUGAUCGUGUAACAACCAACCAACCUUGCCUCAAGCAAACACGAAGAACAAAGACCAUCCAUGCAUAUUUAAUUCACCCAUUAAAAGUUGAAGGAUAAGGAGAGAAGAUAAAUAAUCAUAGCCAUGUUACCUAGUCAGGGCAAGGAUGAAUUAUUAGCAUGUUUCUCAAAUCCCAAUCCCAAACUAAUCAUUUCUCUUCAUUUUGUUGUGCUCAGCGAAGGAACUACCAAAUCUUACUGAAAGUAUUUAAGUGAAGACAACAAAUAGAUGUGUACUGUUUUAUUUGAACUGAAAAGAAUUGAUUGCUUACAGAUCAUUGCAAUCCUUACAAAUAUAUAGUAAACCAAACAAACUGAAUUGCUAACUUAAAGCACCAAAUCAUGCAAAAUGCUACCAUCAUUACCUUCAAAUCUAUAGUUAAUUCCAUUUUUCUAUAAAAGACAAAAUCAUCGGUAUCCAAUAGUUGCCGACUUCACCACGGGUUCAACAUUUUUUUGGCAAGUUGGGAUUCGAUACUAAUGAGCAUAUUUCUUAAGUUGAAAUAGUGCUACCCAAUCUAGGUUACAGUGGGUUGAUGAAUUAAAGAGCAGUUGUUAUUUGACACUGCAAUUAGAUGGCUCAUAUUUGAUUUACGGAGCUAUGAUAUGGGAAUCGUGCUUGUAUCACAUAUAAAAAUAUUUACAUAGUAACAAGCAUUAUUAAAGAUGGUACACUAGUAAGUUUCCAAAUGCUAUCAACAAAUAUUAUAACCUCUUAAUUUAUACAAGGAUUGAGCUAAAUUGCAUACAAGCAAUCCCUAACUUUGGUAGUUUCUUUGUGUUAAAAAUGGAGACUUCUUGGUGUUUGCCGGAACUCCAACUUGGGUAUACCUUUUGUGAACAAGAAAAAAGGUAAAAACAUCUUUCAACGAUAUCAAAUCAUUUAUUCAUAUAAAGUAUUAGUGUUGUCAUUUAAUUUCACUACAUUGUAGAAAAUUCUGAUUUGAUACCAAUUCAUGCUUGGCACGACUGUUACAUGACACCUGGGAUGCUCAGCAACACUACAUCCACAAUCAUGACGACGAACACUGAUGCAGCCACGAAAACAUCAAAACACUAUUUGCUUUGGUAGUAGUAUUGACUGCAAACUUGGUUGACCAACAGAAUCCCUGCCUUCAGCCAACCCCAAAUUUGACUAUCAUCGUAUAAUAUUGAUCGUCACAUUAUAUUUUCCAACUUUUAAUAGGAUUUUAAGGACAAGUUACAGUUGAAAGCUAAUAUAACAACAUUCUUAAAUUCACAUCCUACCGACCAUUAUGGCUAUUAGCUUCCAACCAUUCUCCAUGUUUCACUUUUCUUCAAGUAUUUUCACCAAAAUAAAGCUUCAACCUUUCAAGUUUUGCUUAUAAAGUCAAGAUCCAUGGGAUUAUUUAAGAUUUUAUGGGAAGCAUUUCAAAUAUUUUACGUUUUUUUUUUUUUAAAUAUUGUUAUAGACAUAGAAUCAACAAGAUUGUGUGACAUUCUAUAUUGAUUUUGUGAUAUUUUAAUCACUAAAAGUAUGGGUUUCAGAAAGAUAAAAACCAAACAAAAAAUUGAAAAAAAUAAAAAUUUUCAAACCAACAGAAUCCAACAUAUUGAUCAGUUUUGGUCUGAUUUGAUUCGGAUAUUUUUUAGCUGAAACAAUUAAUAACCAUUUUCAAAAGGUAAGUAUUGACAAGCCUUUCACGAAACCAUGUUCAUUUAUGCUGAAUCAAUCCAAAUCAGGUUUAGGUUGCUAACUCAAACUAACACAAUCCAAAAUUGAAUGCACACAGACUCUGGGUUGUUUCAGUUUAAUGAUUUUUACAGUUUAAUGAUUUUUAGAAAUGUCUAACUGAAACCGAACCGAAAUAUAUGAAUAUUUCUAACUGAGACGCCCCCAAAUACUGAAAAAAUGAUUGGUUUUGUUUUGUUUAGUUUGGUUAUAGCAGAUACCCCUAACAAUCUGCUUUUUCACUCGACAUCAAACAACAAGCACUAAUAUUAUGUCUGUAAGUAAAUUACUAUAAAGUAUAAAAAUAUAUGUGGAUAAUUGAAAAUUUGCUUAGAGUUGCUAAUAAUUCACAACUGCAACAACCAACACGACCAGGUAAUGCUUGGGAAUGGGAUCAUGUAAUGCCCGGGAAUGAGCCUUGGUGCACAAUCAUGAUUGUAACCAUGAUUUAAAAUCAUUUCCACACUAGACUAUCCAAGACAAUUGGUAUUGGAUUGUUAGCAACAAUUCAGUUUAUAAUAAUAAUAAUAAUGUUGAUUCUUUUAUCUCCUACUUAAUGCAAGUGUCCAUCGUGUGCUGAAAUUGAUUGUUUACCUCAAAUUUCUUUUAAAGGUAGAGAUUUCUUGGUUGACAAUGGGAAAAAGUAAUCGCAUGGUUAUUUUCCAUAAGAUUCAUUUGAGUAAAUAUUCUCUAUUGGAGGUCAAUUUCAUCGAAGCAAUUACUUCAAUGAACACGUCCUAACUAGCAACCUCUAAGUAGUCAUCUCCCUCAUCCUAACUUUUUAUUUCCUAAUAAAAUCUCACGGAUUUCCAUCAUGUUCAAAGGAAAAGUUGACGUUGCAAAUGGUGCUCUAAGGAACCAAGUCAUCCUAGAACUAAUCAUCCACCUAAUCUCAUCAACUCCUUGUUGCACAAACAGCUUGUCUCACUUAAAGGGGAUUUUAAUGAUGAACAAACACCAACUCCUUGUUGAUCAAAUACAUAUGCUCAUUUAAACACGAUUUUGCAUUACCUAGAACUGACAAGGCCUAAAAUUCCUGACAUAGAAUUUUGUUUUAAAGGAACUUCAGGAUUUCUAUAUAGGAUGCUUGACCUCAUUAAAGAUAAACUGAGGACAUCCAUAACAUAAAUUAUCUUCCUUGCCCCAAAGUCAGCACAGAAAAACCCUGUUCACUAUAAAGGUUCUGAAUGUUUUUCCUAAAUUUCAUGAUAUGGCAUUAACACAUCAAACACCCAAUUUAGCAUUCUUAUGCAAACUACAACUGCAGAAGGCUUGCACAUGUAGGGGAGGUAGGAAGAGCUGCAAAGUUGUCGCAUCUAUUGUUAUGCUGUUCAGAGUUUCAAUCUCACCAUCCAAUCUGCCAAAAAUAUAAAAGAUCAUGUGCAUGAAUUUGAUCUCAAAGGGGUAACACCUCAUAUGCCCACGGGAGAUACAUGACCAGUGAUGGUUGUUCUAUCCACAAAAUUAGCUAACAUAUGACUUUUUUAUUCAACUACCAUUUCAUGAUAUGAGUUCUCCUAGCCACACUCAAAAGCCCUAGCCGCCAUAUGAACAAAGCACCUAAAAAAUUAACCACCUACCUAAUCUAAUUCAGGAAAAUUUGGUCAAAAUCUCCUACAAUGAAACGAGUUAUUUGAAUGCAUAGUCAGGAAAUUCAGGUAAACACACACACACCUGAUCAUAAAUUUCCUAAAGAAAUUCUGAAUUGUAACAUUGGUAAACAAAGAGUGACAAUAUCAUCACAUUAAAAAUGCAUUUCACUCAAAACAAAUAAUAGCUCAAGAAAAACAAUUGCAAGAAGCCAAUAAAGAAUAAAGUAAGCAGGCCAUAAAAAAGAGACAGAGAGACAUUGUUCCAAUAGAGAAAAGUAAUUAAAACCCAACAACUAAAACUGAGAAAGAAUCAAACCAGGGAGUAACUAAUCCUUUUAAAGCAUUCCAAGAAUGGCAACCAAAUGUAACAUAAUCAACCUGCAAAAACAAACACAAAAAGAAUUAGAAGAAGAAAUCCCAUUAGUUAAUAAGUUAAAACAGCAGCAGCAGCAAAAAGACUAAAAUUUUAGUUAUUUGGACUUGAGAAAAAGCACUGAACCCUCUGUGAAAAUGCCAUGAAAGGGGUGCUAAGAAACCAGGAAAAUAAAAACUUGUAAAAGGGUGUUUUUACAAAGCAAGAAAGAAGCUAGGAAGCAAGGAAGCAUGCCAGCCUACCCUCACGAACUCUGUUUGUUAGGCCAUGUUUGUUUCCCGGAAUUCACUUUCCGGGAAACUAUUUUCCAAACUUUCCUGUUGUCGCACCCGACAUCGCGGCGGCCCUAAAAGUAGUUCUCGAUAUAUGGAAAAAGAACAGAUUUCUGGCAUCUGGUUCUUUUAAGGGAAAAGGUCUUGUUUGAGGAGUCGCCACCUAGUAUUAUGGUCACUAGGAACCCUAACUGGUCAACAGAGAUUCUAUGGCUCGGGAUUGGUUACGUAAAAGGGAAGAUAUUAUCACCCCUUAAACGUUCUGCCUAAGGCAGACUGCAUUGCUGGUUUUGUCUUAAAUUGCUAAACAUUUAUUCGCUGAUGCUAUGAUGAUUUGUUUAUAAUAUUCCUGACUCUGGCGCCAGUGAAUAUUCGAGCUCGAAUAAUUCCAACUCUGGCGUUGGUAAAAAUUCGUAGCUACGAAAAAAAAUUAGAUCAAUAUUUUUUAUUUCUUACUCUAGCGCCUAGUGAAUAAAUAAAUAAAAAUAAAUUUAUUUUUACGCAUGCACAUAUUUUUUUAUUUUUCUAGCUAAAUAAAAUAAAAUACAACGAAUAAAAAUAAUAUAAAUUUAAACCAGUAUUUUUAUUCCUGACUCUAGCGUCAGUGAAUAAACCAAUAAAUUUACAUUAUUUUUAUUCAUGCAUACACAUUUUUUAUUUUUUCUACUUUUUUUUUAUUUUUCUGUUUUUUCUAAUUUUUUAUUUUUUUUGGGCUGGGCCCAUCUCAGCCCACAUAGGCUGGGCUAGACCCAGCCAGCCCAGCCCGGUCACUGGCCUAAGCCAGUGACCCGGCUGGGCCACAUGAGGCACGCGUGAUCCAAAUCACGCAUGCCAGGCCUUUAGUUUUAAAUCAAGACAGGCGGCGAAGAUGAAUUAAUGAAACGCGGGGAAAAAAAAACAGAGCAGAAGACUUACCUGGUUCGUUUGCAGGGAGUUUACGCGAGAUUGCUGAGGGCGACGUUUCUGCUUCGAAUUUCCUCUUAAUUCCUUCUGCUUGUGUUCCCUGUUGUAUUCCUUUCAUGUGUCUCUAUUUCAGCUUGUUUUUCUUCGUCUUUAUGCUCUGUUUUCAGAACACCAUCUCUCUCUCUCUCGGCUGGUUUUCUCUCUCGUUUUUCUUAAGUCAGAACUGGUGAGGGAAGCCUAUUUCUAGUAUGGGAGUUCUGGAGAUGAACCUAAAAAUUAUGUGCUUUGCUUGUGUUUCUCUUCUUUUCGGUUUCUUUCGUCUCUCUCUCCCUCUCUAACCGACCUUUCUCUUCGGUGCUGCUCAGUUUAUAUAGGGCUCGGCGGGUUGAUAACAGGCGGUAGGCUAACGGUCGGCCACCAUUAAGGCGCCCAUAACUGAAGCCAACGGACGACGAUUACUGCUGCAACGUUCCUCCCUCCAUUACUGCAGAAACGGUCACUGGCUUAAAGGAGAAGAAGAUGAACAGCAUCCUCAAAACGACGCCGUUUGGAGAUAAACAGUGGCCAUUUUCACUUUGACCCAUGAAGUUUCGAAAAUUUUAUAAUUAAACCCCUGUUUUAAACAGUAAUUUUCCCUGCAUUUCGGCGCCUUUUACAAGUUAGUCCUUGGACUUUAAUCUGCUGCAAUCGUAUCCCCAAUUAACCCCAAACUUUGCUAUUUCUUCAAUUAAGUCCCUGAUUUCAUUAAUUUAAUUAAAUCCAAAGUCCAAUUAAGUCUAAAACUUAUCAAUUCUCCAAUUAAGCCCCUGAUUGGAUUGAUUAAAUUAAUUCCAAGCUUAAUUAAGUCUCAAAACUUAUCAAUUCUCCAAUUAAACCCUUGAUUGGAUGAAUUAAAUUAAUUUCAAGCUUAAUUAAGUCUAAAAAUUUAUCAAUUCUCCAAUUAAACCCUUGAUUAAAUUAAUUCCAAGCUCAAUUAAGUCUCAAAACUUAUCAAUUCUCCAAUUAAACCCUUAAUUGGAUUAAUUAAAUUAAUUCCAAGCUUAAUUAGAUUAAUUUCAAAGUUUAAUUAAACCCCAAAACUUCUAAUCAUGUUGCCCUUAACCCAAAUUUUAAUUCAUUCUUCAUUUAUCUCAUUUUACUUGUUUUUUUAUCAUUAUUAUUUUUUUAUCAUCAUCAUCAUUUUUUUUAUCCUUUUCAGUAAAUAAAAUAAUAAUAAUAAUUAAAAUAAAAUGGUCAAAAAUUGGGUAAUGACAGUUGCCCCCUCUUUAUAAUAUUUACUAUGCAAAGAUAUUGGAAAAUUUUAUUUUCUUUUAGCUUUGUGUAGUAAAUUUAUAAAGAAAAGUAGAUACAGAAAGAACAUUUUUUUUUUUUUAGUCUUGAAAACUUUGAAAACAGUAGAUUGACACACGACCUUUACAGAGAGAUGUAGAAAUCAAGAAACAAGUCAUUUGGAAGACGACCCACUUUUUUUUUUGUUUUUUUGUUUUGUUUUGUUUUGUUUUGUUUUUUUUUUUAGAAGUGGUCUCAUUGUGAUGGGUGACCUACCCAAGUAAAAAAAGAAAUGAAAAUGAGGGCUCGAAGGCGCGCUCGAAAGAAUGUGAGGGCUCAAAGGCGCUCGAAGAAGAAAGGGAGGGCUCAAAGGCGCUCGAGGAAGAAAGCGAGGGCUCAAAGGCGCUCAAGGAAGAAAGCGAGGGCUCAAAGGCGCGCUCAAAGGGAAGCGAGGGCUCAAAGGCGCGCUCGAAGGGAGAAAGCGAGGGCUCAAAGGCACGCUCGAAGGGAAGCGAGGGCUCAAAGGCGCGCUCGAAGAGAAAAGGAAGUGCUCAAAGGCACUCGAAGAGGAAAGAAAGUGCUCAAAGGCACUCGAAGAGAAAAGCGAGGGCUCAAAGGCGCGCUCGAAAAGAAAAGCAAGUGCUCAAAGGCACUGGAAGAGGAAAGCGAGGGCUCAAAGGCGCGCUCGAAGCGAAAAGCAAGUGCUCAAAGGCACUCGAAGAGGAAAGCAAGUGCUCAAAGGCACUCGAAGAGGAAAGCGAGGGCUCAAAGGCGCGCUCGAAGAGAAGCGAGGGCUCAAAGGCAUGCUCGAAGAGAAAAGCAAGUGCUCAAAGGCACUCGAAGAGAAGCGAGGGCUCAAAGGCGCUCUUGAAGAGAAAAGCGAGUGCUCAAAGGCACUCCAAGAGGAAAGCGAGGGCUUAAAGGCGCUCGAAGAGGAAACCGAGGGCUUGAAAGCGCCCUAAAAAUGAUGAUCAAAGGCUCGAGGGUGCAUUUGAAGGGAGGUAAGGCUCGAAGGUGUUCUCGAAAAGGGAGGUAGGGUUAAGAAACGCAAUACCUUGGAUGGUCAAGGGCUCAAAAGCGCACUUGAAAGGAGACAAGGACUUGAAAGUGCCCUAAAAAUGAUGAUCAAAGGCUCGAAGGCGCAUUUAAGGAGGUGGAAAAACAUAGAGAUUUUUCAGAGGGCCUAAUUCUUGUGGGCGGCCUGCCCAGGUUGAAAAAUUUUCAAAAGUGAAAAUUUUUCAAAAGCAAUUUCAAUCCUGGCCAUUUCAAGUUGGCCUUCCACUUGAUGGAUUCCGUUGGAAUUUUCUCUAAUGAGAUUUGCAAAACUUAUUGUCCAAUUUCUCAAAGUUUAGAUGAUAUGCAUGCAUCUUUACCUGAUUUGAAAUAUAGGCCCCCCAUUUCUUCUUUGUCUUCUUGUUGCUUGACUGAUGAGGACUUGCUACCUCUGAUUUGCGUCAUAUUUGUCACUUGGCUUCUAGCCCACUCGAGUUGGCCCAUGGAAGUCUAUUUCCAAAUUUGUUUGCACAACUUAGCCUUUAUGGUGCCCAUCGUGACCCACUUGCUUGCUAGAGAUUUUCUAUCUUGUCAAAUAAUUUGAGAGGAUCAUUCAUUACUCCUCGUCUCGCUACUAAAAAUAUUCGGUGUCACUUGCUGAAAGGAUCAAACUGUCUUUCAUAAACCAAAAUGCCCCCUUGUCUUGUUGUAGGAAAUAUUCCUCUCUUUUUCUAGAAGAGAAAAUACAAUGUUGCCCCUUGUACUGCUCAUUGCCUCCAAGUGUGCUUUGCCAGCGACUGGGACAAAUAAUGGUUUUAAAAGACCAUUCUCUCAUUUCUCUUUUUGUUCAUUUUGGUGAAGGAAUAUGGGUCCAUAAUAAAUCUUGAAAUCUUGAUCUUGCAUUUUGAAAACAAAAAUUGUUUCGAUGUGAGUCUAAAAUAAUUUGCUUUUGAAAUCUUGCAACUCCUUGGUUGUUUUCUUUUUUGGAAAAGAGAUUAUUUGAUCUUGUGUUUGGCAAAGAGGUCUUUUGGUGAAAAUAUGUCAUGAGAUGACCUUUUUGUUUUCAAAGUGAAGGGCUCGAGAAAAAGCUCGAGGUUUUGUUUGAGAAAAACAACUUAUCUCUUUUUAAACAUUCAUUUUUAUCAGCAUGAAUAAUAAUGAGUAGUUUAUUCUUGAUGUCAUGAAUCUUAUGAAAAAGUAUUCUUUGCAUUUUGAGAGCAUUGUUUAUUGUUCUAGGUUGCUUGCUUUCUUGAUUAGAAAGGACUUUUACCGGCACGUAACGUAAGUUGUGGUUUUUUGCUAUGAAAGAAAAUGAUUCGUAAUGCUCAAAGAGUGUUUCAAGGUUUCAAAGACUGAGGAUCACUAUCAACAGUUUGACUCUUGACGUCAUUCACAUUUUCUUUUGCCGCUCUUCUUUAAUUUGCCCUUUGUCAUUGUUUUGGCUAUCACUUUUUCUUGUGAUUUGGGCAUGCCCCCUAGCAUUUGAGUUUCUUGGGCUCUUUAUGCCUUUUUGGCUUUCUUGCAGCUUUUUCUCUUUUCUCAUUGAAAUUUUCUCUUGCCCCCUAGUGUGGGGUGUGAUUCUAGUCGGGAUUUUUUUCAUGAAAGAAAUAUUAUUCAGGCUAAAAAAAGGAUCGCAAGGGAUGUAUUUAUUUCAGAAUGUGAAAGGAAUAACAAAGAUGACCCUUCAUCAUUUCAAGCGCAAGCAGUUAAGAUCAAUAAACCUUGACCUCAUCCAGUGUGUUGGUUUGGUCAUGAGCAACGAGUUCACUACAUACCAUUAUUCAUACAUUUAAAAACACAUGAUUCAAGAGUCAUGGGGUAAGGGUGUUUAUUUCUUUCUUUUUUUUCUUUUUCACAAUAUUUUUUGGUUUAUAAGUUAAUCACCUCAAUGAUGGAGUUGCUUGAUUCACUUGUCAUUCUACAAUUAGAAUGUGAAAAAUAUCAUUUUUGAAUGAACAUCAAAUUAUUUUUGAAAUCAAAAUACCAGAUCAAUUUUUUUUCAAAACUCCAAUAGGGAAAUGGAUUUUGGUACAAGAGAUGAAUUGCAUCUACGAGAUCACGCAAGGCUUCAAAGGUGUAUUCGUGAGUUCUUAUAACAAAACUCUCUUAAUAAUGAUUGGUCGUAAACAUGAUUGAAUGAGAAACUCAUUAUUUCAUUGAAGCUUUGGAAAAGAAACAACAAAGAACUUAUGCCAACAUGAAUAUUAGCAUGAUAACACAUAAAAGGGGCUAAACAUUUAGUAAUCAUUGAUUGGAAUUUCUGGAAUUUUUCAAUCAUUCAUUCUCCUUGACAAAGGCAUCUUUUCAACACUUAGUUGCAGUCACAUGCAGACCAUUCUCGACCUACUAUCACCAUAACCCUAUUGGAAAAUUUGGGCGGAAAACACUUUCCGGAAGUUAUGAAAAAUUUAGAAAUGUUAUUAUUUGUUGAUAUAUCAAAUUUAAUCCUCAAACUUUUGAUUGCUAUAUAUAAUUUGUUUUGAAUAUUUAUUUUUCAAUUCCAUUUCUUAAAAUUUAAUUUUUAUAUUAAUUUUGCUCCUUAUUUUUAUAAUAUUUAUUUGCUUUUUCCUUAUCAUUUUUUUAUUGAAAUUUUUUAUCUGUCAAAUUUGGUCCUCAUUCUUUUGAUUGUUACUUAUUUUAUUUGAAAUAAUUUAUGAAAUGUUAAUUAUUAUUAUUUUAAUUUCUUCACCUUUCAUUUUUUUAAAAUUUUUAGAUUUGAUUUCUAUUAUUUUGAUUAUUAUUUAUUUUAUUUGAGAUAAUUUAUGAAAUUGUAUUUUUUUUCAAUUUCAUUCUCAUUCAACUUUUUAAUUUGUAAGAUUUGUUCCUCAUUAUUUUAAUAAACUUGAGAAAAUAAAACAUUAAUAAGUUAUUUUCCAGCUCAUUUUCCAUGACAUAACCAAACACUGGAAAAUGUUUUCCAACUUAUUUUCCAUUACACUACCAAACAUCAGAAAAUACUUUCCCGGAAUUCAUUUUCCCCGAAAUUCACUUUCCAAAAAGAAACUACUUUCCAGCAAACAAACGGGGCCUUAAUUUUUUUUUCUCCUUUCAAGUGAAAAAAAAAAAAACAAAGAGCACCAAGAAAAUCUAAUCAGAAAUAUUUUUUUUUUAGUCUGAAAUAUUUUAUGUUGUUGUCUUGGAGAGAUGCAGAUACCGAGGAACAGUUGUGGGGCCACCAUUGGUGAGCAGUGAUACAGUGGCAAGUACGUGAAGUAACGCAUAUUACAGUGCGCAAUGAUAGAGUGAGUCUGGGUGGACAAACUUUUGGUGGUACACGUGGUGCGUAAUGAUUUGACGGCUAUGGAGAGAAGUUACAUGAGGGAAAUAAGAUGAAAAAAGUGGCCUCUCUAGAUUUUGGAAAUGUUCUCUGAAGAAAGAAAGAAAAUAAUCUCAAGGGUGGACAAAAAUGGGGUAAUAUCAGAUUUGGAACAUAAUCUUGGUGAAGAAUAACAUAAUCUAAGGAGAAAUCUAGGGCAAGCCCAGUGAGAUUUGAGCUUAGAUUUUGGACCAAUUUAUAGCUGGAUAAUACCAUCAUGGAUGAUGUCCAGCUGAUAAAUGUUUAGUUACUUGCAAUUCUAUCAUAAAGUUAUCAGAUUCUGUGUGUGUGAGGCUGCCAUAAAUUUCUUUCUUCUAUGAUGGAUAAAAAACGCUAAGCAAUGAACCAUUUUGUCAACCUAGUAAAAAAGGUAUUAUGGUUAUGAUGAGAACUCUACAGCCUGUGAUUCUAUUUUUGAAGGUAUUCUUAUUAUAUUUAUAAUUAUAAGAAUAUUUUAAAAAAACAUGGGUAAAAUAUUAUUCUCACAUCACUAUUUACUGGUCUUAUAGACUUAAAUUCAUAGAUAAUUAAGUAAAUUUGUUGAGGAAAAGCAAAAUUUAACUAUAGAUAAUCAAAGUGAAAAAAAAAACCUCAAAAAAAGAUGGUAGUUUCAAGAUUAAAGCCAAAAAUUCACUUUGAUUCUCAUACUUUUCAGAUAAUGACUUUUUGGUCCCUUAAGUUUUCUCACAUUUUAUUUUUGAUCCACAACUUCAUUUUUCUAUAUUCUCAUUCCCUAAUUUGAUAGAGGAGACAAAAAGUUAUUGGAUUACAAUGUUAGAGAGAGUCUCUGUAACAGCCUCAACAUUUGUAUUCAAAACAAAGAGCAAGGACAUGAUGAUUCAAAUAAGAUUAUGGAAUUUUUUUUUGUAAUCAAUAAAAAAUUCAGCAGAGUUUUUUUUAUAUUUUUAGAUACUAAGUUAUCGACUUUUCAUCUACAAUCCUCAAUUAUCAAAUUUCUUACUCAUCCUAUCAUCCAGAACUUCCUCCUCUCAUUACAUCACAACUUCUCAAUAAUCAAAUUCACAUGUCUAAAUAAUUCAAUAUCCCACAUUUACAUGGAUGCAAUCCAAAGAAUUAUUAUACAAAUUAUAACUGAAGUACAUUACACAAUUCUAAGAUUUACAAAUAAGGACCAUUAACGAAAUUAUAAUAGAAAUAAGUAUAUAAUUAAAGAAGAAAUUCAUAAUUAAGAUUAUACUACACAAAAGAGCUUUCGAUAAACUGUUGACGCAUUAUAUUACAUAACAAAAUGAUAAAUUCAUUCAUUACAAAAAGAUACCCAACAAAAUAUAAGAAAACUAAUCUACUGUUCAACCCGAUAAGGGGAUGUACCUGAAAAUUGAUUUAAUACAAUAAUUCAAUUAGACAGAUGAAAAAAGAUAUCCUGCUUUCUUUCUUUCUUCCUUUUUUUUUAAAAAAAAAAUUAGUCAAAAGAUCAUUAAAUUAACUUGCUCAUGUAGUAUUUAUAUAUAUAUAUAUAUAUAUAUAUAUAUAUAUAUAUAUAUAUAUAUAUAUAUAUCAAUUAAAUUUCAGAAUAAUCUAUGAGUUUGAGUUUGUUUUCUUUUUCUUUUUUCUUUUUUAAUAUCAACAAAAAAUAUAAUUAUUCCUAUCACUCAAUUAACCCGACAUUACUUUCACUAAUAGAUGAUUAAUUUUCCACCAGUCUAUUCAACAAACACUAUUGUCAUCAAUCCAAAAAUUAGUUUAACGUUUCAUCCAUUCAUCAGGUACAAAUCUCAUUAACCAAGAAAAUUAAUUCUUCAUCUCGCCUAUUUGUCAGGGCACUAAUUCCAUUAAAUCAGGAAUUAGUUCAACGAUUUACCCAUUCACUAGGGUACUAAUCCCAUUAACCAAAGACUUAAUUCCUCAUCAUGCCCAUUCACCGGGACAUUAAUCCCAUUAAUUUAGGAAUUAGUUCAACGAUUUGCCUAUUCACCAGGGUUCUAAUCCCAUUAACUAGAGAAUUAAUUCCUUAUCACGCCCAUUCACCAAGGCAUUAAUCCCAUUAGUUCAAGAAUUAAUUCAUCACAUCGCAUAUCUUAUUUUCUAAUAUAAUAAUUUCAUAUUUAUCAACCAUAAUUAAUGAAAUAAAAAUACAUAUUGACCAAUAAUAAAUUCAGGUACCGUGUAAUUACCUGAUGACUAAGCUCGAGCUGAAAUUUCCUGCUGUGGUGUCGGCCUGGCAGCCUCUCUUGAAUUGACAAGUAUAUCACAUCAUUAUUCUACUUUUCAUAUUAAAAUACUCAAUAAAUAAAAUCAUUCCAAUUAUCCUUUUAUUUGCCAAAAUAAAAUCAUUUUGUAAAUUUCCUUCCUAUUCUUUCAAUUUCCACAUUGUAACACAAUUCAUUUCAUCAUUCAAAUCAAUAUAUAUAUUCUUUAAAUUUAUUUAUUUAAUUUUUACAGUAAUUUAAAUCAAAGAAAAACAUAAAAAAAUUUCAUGAUCUAUUCACUCUUUAACAUUAAUAUCAUCUCUUUCUUACACAAUCUCAUCAUCUUAUCAAAACUCUUAAAUUUUUAUUUUUCUUAUUAUUAGUUUUCCAAAAAUCACUUCUUCAAGAACACCUAAAAUUUUGCUUUAAUUACCAUAAUUUCUUACUUUCCCUACUCACUUCAAUAAUCUUAACACAAUUUCACAAUCAAUUGUAAUUUUCUCUAAAAUUUAUCAUGAACCCUAAUUCCUCAUUUCACAAAGUUCAAUCAAUUUAAAGCAUAAAUUCUUCGAGAAUCUUAUUUAAAAGUGUGAGGACAUCUUACCAAGCAAUAACCAAAGCUUUAACACUUUUAAAUUGAGAAAUUUUCCUUGCUUGAAUUUGUUUUUCCUCUCCUGGCCGAAUGCUUCUUUCUCUUUGAAAAAGCAAGUUUUUUUUUUUUUGUUUCCUUAUAUCACACACUUACUUGCACUCAUAUAUAUAUAUAUAACUCUUUUUUUAAAUACCUUCCACAUCCCUCAAUUUUUUCUUUCCCCCUACACACAUAUAAUUACUUAACUUUUUAAAAAUACCUUCUAUAUUCCUUAAUAGUAAAUUUUAUGAUUUUUGGGUAAAAUUUCUUGAAUCCUAAUGCCUGUUUAUACCAAAUUUUAUCCAGGUUAUUUCAAAUUUCACUCAGUUACUCGUUAGUAUUUUCAGUUUCAUGAAAUUCAUUUCCAUAAAAAUUUUAUUCACAUUUUCAUGUUUAUUUAUUUAUAUUUAUUUUUUAUAUAUAUUUUAACACCCGAACAAAACAUUUCAAUUCAGAUUCUCGAAUAUAUCAUCAUUCUUAUAAUUUAAUUUAUCACUUUUCCUCAUUUUUUUUAAUCUUAACUUUUAUUAAUAUCAAUAAUAUUACCCGGGGUUUUACAGUCUCAGUUGGCACUGAUUUUUGCCAUAAAAAAUGGUUGAUUUUAAUGAUUUUUUUUAAUAUCUAUAUGUUUUUUAUAUAUUUUAUAUGAAUAAACUUUAUUUUCAUGACGUGUUUAUAAAAAUAAGAAUUAUUUGUUCUUGGUAAGAAAAAGUGACCUUUAAGAUUAAAAAGAAGAAAAGGAGAAAAGUGACCUUUAAGAUUAAAAGUAUCUGCUCGAAAAAACCAUUCAACAUAAGAUUGCUCUGCUAGGAAAACAUGAUAUCAGUAUCAAACUUUUGAACAAAGAGUUCAGCAUCAAGUCUCAGUCAUCUGGAGAUUUGAAUGCCCAAAUAUAUUCACAUGCUCAUACAAUAACAUUUUAAAAAUGCAUUAUGCAAUAGAAACAGAACAUCAAACUGACAGAGAAAACAUGCUGAUGCAGAAAAUACUCAAGUCGUAGAAAGGAGAACGCAUGAAAGUCCACACAUUAAACCAAAAGAAACACAAAUGGGCAAGCAAACAUGCGCCCUUACUUCUGGAGGCUUGUACGAUAAUGGGCAAGCAACAUUGUUUUUUUGAGGUUCGCACAGUAAUGACUAAAUACACAACAUGACAUUACUCCUGUGCUGUCAACAAUUCUUCUAACUUCUUCAGCAAUGUGAAGCCAAUUUGUAUCCCAUUGCCAAUGGAACAGUUGGAAUUAUUUCCCACCAAAUCUAAAACAUAUUCGCAGCACCAACCUUGAAAUCAUGUAACAGUUAACCACCAUUCAACAUGAGAUUGUUCUGCUAGGAAAACAUGAUAUCAAACUUUUGAACAAAUAGUACAGCAUCAAGUCCAAAUAUAUUCACAGCUCAAAGACAUGAGUCUCCAUCUUCUUUCCACCCCAUAUUUCUGGUCCACUCUCUAUUAAUGCUUGAAUCUUCAGCUACUUCAGGUACCUGUAAACCAAUUCAAGCAUGGCAUGCUCAUUUAACUUGUAAUCUUAUUAUUGAGAGAAACAAGAAACAAACAUACUAAAAGAGAGGCAAGAAAUCAAGUCAAAUCAGCAGCACCUCUGAUUGAGCACUCAUUGAACCAUCUGGUGUAGUAGCAAAUUUUGUGGUCAGCUUUGGACAUUGAUGGACCUUCAACUUCUCCAAACGAGGGAAUAAGAAAUAAUCACACCAUCCGAAACUAAAACAGACAAUACUUGAUAAUUGUUCUAGCGACAACUCCUUUAGAUUAGGAAGCACUAUCUCCUUCUCAACGUUGAUAGGUGAAGCUUGACCAUCCUGCUCAGGAGACUCUGGAAUUAUUUCCCUUUCACCAUCCUCUUCUCUGAUAAUAUGCUUCAAUUGACCGCAUUUACUUAUGUAAAGUCUUUGUAGCUUUGGCAGACUUCGAGCGAGGGACGGUGUGAAGAUAAAUGUCAGUUUGUUGAGAGACUCCAAAUUCAGACGAUUAAGACUUUGGAGGCUGACAUGUCUAGAUUGUUGUAUUAAACUCAAUCCAUCCAGAAGGUCAAGGAAGGCAGCCACCAGCUGUCACCGCCCAGCCACCAACCGGCCAGCCGCCAGCCACCAGCUGUUUGCCGCCACAGCCGCCAGCCGCCUUCACACUUGAAGGUUGAAUUUUCUUGUUUUGAAUUCGUGUAUAAAUAGCAAGCUAAGCUUAUGUUAUUCUGUGUGGAGAGAGUAGAGAGAAACACUAGAGAGAAAGAGAGAGGGCGUGUAUUGUGUUAAGCUUUUGUGUUAAGUAAUUGUAAGCUUUUGUUCUUGAAAUAAAACAGUGUGUUUUAUCCCCUCCGAGUGUUUCAAAGCCACCACCAGUGGUUUCUCCCACCAACAAUUGGUAUCAGAGCCCCGUUCGUCAGAAAACAGAAGUGUUUUGGGAGAUAUCCGAAUUUUCAAAGUUGUCAAAAACAAGUUUUGAUCAUUCCAUUGUAUAGAGCUCAUCCAUACGAACUCACUGCCGCAAAAAUCAGCUCAAUCGGACACCGGGGUGAGCCACACGCGCCGCCUGAAGAUCCGGUGACUGUAGCCCAGUCUCACCCACGCGCGCCAGAGGAAGAAGACGAGUGACGUCCACGCGCGCCAUAUUUGAGCCGUUAAGCCGAGCCGAGCCGAGCUGCAAGCCAAGCCUCCAGCCGCGCCGAAGAAUAUUCCCAAGAAUAUUCCCUUUUCAAGCCGAGCCGCUAUUAGCCGAAGCCGAGCCGAUAGAAUAUUCCACAGAAUAUUCCCGGUUCAACCCAGCAAACCGCCCGACGCCCAGAAUUGGUUUUUUGACCGGUUCACCCAUUUUCUGACCUGAUUUCUACAAAGUCAAACCGGUUCCCGACUAUUUCGACCAUUCCGGAUCGAUCUACAAUGUCGGUUUUGCCAAAUUCAACUCCCAGAAGGAGAUAUAGUCAUUAAAAGAGCAAAAUGACUACAGAAAGUACACAAACACUCAUCCCGAAGCUGACCAAAGACAACUAUGAUAGUUGGUGCAUAAGAUUAAAGGCAUUUCUUGGUUCACAAGAGUGUUUGGAGAUUGUACACUAUGGUUAUGAUGAACCAGAGUCUAAAGAAGAAGAAGAUGCUUUACAAGAGGCACAGAAGCAAGCCCUGAAAGUCAACAGAAAGAAGGACAACAAAGCAAAGACCAUCAUCUACCAAGGUCUUGAUGAAGAUACAUUCGAGAUCAUAGCUUCCGCUGAAACAUCAAAAGACAUAUGGGAGGCUCUCCAACAAAAAUACAAAGGUGCUGACAGAAUCAAGAAGAUUCGUCUUCAAUCUUUGCGAGGUGAAUUUGAGUUAUUGCAAAUGAAGUCCUCAGAAUCUAUUUCUGAUUAUCACACAAGGAUUAUGGUGAUAGUCAAUCAGAUGAGGAGAAAUGGAGAAGCCAUCAUAGAUUCUCGAAUUACUGAGAAAAUUUUGAGAUCCCUAGAUCCAAAAUUUGAUUUUGUUGUUGUCGCUAUUGAAGAGUCCAAGGAAGUGGACAAGUUGACAGUUGAUGAGCUUAUGAGUUCUUUGCAAGCUCAUGAGCAGAAGAUUGUAAAGCGAAAUGGAGAUAAGGCCAUCGAGCAUGCCUUACAAGCAAAGAUGUCUCUCAAGGACAGAUAUGAGCAAGGGGAGACUUCAACAAGUGGAUAUACCACUCAAGCAGGAAGUCAACAAUCCAGAGGAGGAUUCCAGAGAUUCCAAGGAAGAGGUUCUUGGAAUACAAGCUUUAGAGGAAGAGGUGGUAGAAACACCACCAGAGGAGGUAGAGGACAGCAAGCAUUCACUCCUAGAGGAAGAGGAGGCGGUUACAAUAACCGUGACAAGAGGAAUAUCCAAUGUUAUAGUUGCAAUCAAUUUGGGCACUAUAGCACUGAAUGCAGAAGGAAAGCUCCGUUGGAGAUACGUGAGCAAGCCAACUAUGCAGAGAAGGAUGACAUAGAAGCUGCAUUUCUUGUCCAACAAGAACUUGGCGAGAAACAGGAAAAUAUAUGGUAUCUAGAUACUGGAGCCAGCAAUCACAUGUGUGGCUACCGAGAGUUAUUUAGUGAUCUAGAUGAGACCAAGCAAGGUCUAGUUACUUUUGGAGAUACCUCAAAGGUUCCAUUCAAAGGUAAAGGCAGCAUCCCAAUCAAGUUGAAGAACGGCGAUUCCAGCUACAUCGCCAAUGUUUAUUAUGUCCCAGCCAUAAAGCAGAACCUGAUCAGCUUAGGUCAACUUUUGGAGAGAGGAUAUACUUUUUACUCGAAGAAUUGCCAUCUGACAAUUAGAGACAACAAUUGGAGAUUAAUGGCCUAUGUGAAAAUGUCCAAGAAUAGGAUGUUUCCUUUGAACAUCCAGUAUGAUGCAGCAAGGUGUUUGAGUGCCAUCACCAACAGUGAAGAAUGGCUCUGGCACCUGAGGCUUGGACAUCUGAAUUUCACGAGCUUGAAGAUGCUAGCAAGCAAGAAGAUGGUCAAAGGUAUGCCUCACAUUGAUCAUCCAGAUGAAGUCUGUGAGAGUUGUGUCCUCAGCAAACAUCACAGAUCCAGUUUUGCCAAAGAAGUCAACUGGAAAGCAAAGAGGCCACUGGAGUUAGUACACACAGAUGUGUGUGGCCCAAUAACGCCUAUGUCGACUGGACAGAAUAGGUACUUCCUCACUUUUAUUGAUGAUUUUAGUAGAAAGACGUGGAUAUACUUUCUGAAGAGGAAGUCAGAAGUAUUCAAUUGUUUUAAAGAUUUUAAAGCAAUUGUGGAGAAGCAAAGUGGUUACAUGAUCAGAACAGUGAGAUCUGAUCAAGGUGGAGAAUAUACAGCAAAUGACUUUGAAGCCUUCUGUACACAACAAGGCAUCAGACAUCAAACAACGCCUGCUUAUACACCACAGCUGAAUGGUGUAGCUGAAAGGAAGAAUCGCACGAUUCUUGACAUGGCAAGAAGUCUGCUCAAAGCAAAGAAGUUGCCCAAGCAAUACUGGGCUGAAGCUGUAUCAUGUGCAGUGUAUCUACUGAAUCGCUGCCCAAACAGAAGUUUGCAAGGUGUCACUCCAGAAGAAGCUUGGAGUGGUCACAAACCAAGUGUUACUCAUCUACGAGUCUUUGGUUGUGUGGCAUAUGCAAAGAUCCCAGAUGCAAGAAGGAGAAAACUCGAUGAUAAAAGCGAGAGAUGCAUCUUUGUGGGAUAUGGUGAAAGAAGGAUGGGAUACAAGCUGUAUAAUCCCAUCACGAAGAAGGUGAUUAUGAGUAGAGAUGUUAUCUUUGAAGAAGAUAAAUCUUGGGAAUGGACUGAUAAUAAAGAAGCAGUUAGAUGGAUCAACAUUGAUUUGAUCCUUGAAGGUGAAGAAGUACCAACAGUACUUGUCGAAGAACCGAUUGUGCCAGCAGCUGAACCACAAAGUCCGGUGAUUAUACCAGCAGCUGAACCACAAAGUCCAGUACACAGAUUCCCUGUAUUCAACAGGAGGAACACACCAGGAGCAUCAUCAUCAACACCAGCAGCAGCAUCCUCGUCAGAAGGACCAAGAAGGAUGAGAAAUCUUGACGAGUUGUACGAUGCCACGCAAGUCAUCGAAGAUACAACUCUAUUUUGUUUCUUUGCAGACAAUGACCCACUUAGCUUCAACAAAGCUAUCACAGAAGAGAAGAUAGAAGCAAUGGAUAAAGAAAUGCAUGCCAUUGAGAAGAAUGAUAUCUGGAAGCUGACUUAUCCACCAGAAAGCAAGAAAGCAAUAGGUGUCAAAUGGGUCUAUAAGAAAAAGAAGAAUGCAAAAGAAGAAGCGCAAAAAUACAAAGCCAUUGAAGAGGGAAACAUUUAUCAGAAUGAAGUUCAUGCUUGGCAUGACAUCCCUCGAUUGAGUUUAAAGGGGAGAUUUGUUGUAUUAAACUCAAUCCAUCCAGAAGGUCAAGGAAGGCAGCCACCAGCUGUCACCGCCCAGCCACCAACCGGCCAGCCGCCAGCCACCAGCUGUUUGCCGCCACAGCCGCCAGCCGCCUUCACACUUGAAGGUUGAAUUUUCUUGUUUUGAAUUCGUGUAUAAAUAGCAAGCUAAGCUUAUGUUAUUCUGUGUGGAGAGAGUAGAGAGAAACACUAGAGAGAAAGAGAGAGGGCGUGUAUUGUGUUAAGCUUUUGUGUUAAGUAAUUGUAAGCUUUUGUUCUUGAAAUAAAACAGUGUGUUUUAUCCCCUCCGAGUGUUUCAAAGCCACCACCAGUGGUUUCUCCCACCAACAUAGAUGGCCCCUUCCAUAUACAUUUGAGCUCAGGUAAACAUGACAGCCGUAACUCUGUUAAAGAUGACAGAAGCGGUAGCUCCUUCUCCUCACUACUUCCUUCAUCAGGCUCACCUAAUUCAAAUACCUCUUCCAAUGAUUUACAGCUGUCAACAAUCACCUCCUCUAGAUUGUUCAAAGCUCGGAGCAAUUUUGCUGGAAACGGAGUGCGAACAUCCCCACAAUCGUCCACUCGUACAAAUUCUAAUCUUUGUAAGAAGCCGUUUUGCUGCCCAUGGACGACCAUCUUAUCAGAGAACAAUAUUAUAUUUUUUCACUCAUAAAAACAAUUUAUAUGAUGAGAGAAAAAAAAAAAAACAGGAUUACAUACUUUUUAGAGAUUACAUAUUAUUGUUUCAGUUUUUUUCUUAAUUAGAGAUAAGUUAAAUAAUAAUUAGAUUUUUGCGAAAAAAGGUUACUACAACUCCUAAUAAUUAGUUUCAUGUAAAAAAUAAAAAUAAAAAUAGUAACUAAUAUUUUUAUUUUAGUUAUAAAGUUAAUAAAUUUUUAAAGAUAUUUUAAUUGAAUUAAAUAUUUGAACACAAAAUAAGCUAAUAUGAUUUCUAUGAUUAAUUGUUGGUAUUAAGUUUCUUAUAUUUAUAUAUGUUUAGAUAAAACAAAAAAAUAAGCAGUGACGAAGAAAGAAUAAAUCUAACAGAUAAUAUAAAUUACGUAAAUCAUGAGGCAGUUAAAUCUAACAGAUAAUAUAUUUCAAAUGAGGCAGUCAAAUCUAACAGAUAAUAUAUUUCAAAUGAGGCAGUCAAAUCUAACAGAUAAUAUGUUCUUCCAUAUGAUUAAUUUUUAAUAACGCAGACAACAAUGAGGCAGUUAAGUUUUUUAUAUUUAUAUAUGUUUACAUAAAAAAAUAAAUCAUAAAAAAAUAAAAAUAAGCAUUUAUCAAUUACUUUACUUUUAGAAAUUGGGAGGAAGAAAGAAUAAAUUAUCGCAAUUGACAAUUUAAUUUAGUGGAGAAAUAUAAAUUACGUACUUGUAGCUGUGCCAACCAAUUACCCACUUCUUCGUGGCCUUCAAUGGUUAAUCUUUGCAAGGGCAAUUGAGCAUCAAAAUUCCUUGGACCUAAAAAGCUGUAAUUAGAUUGGAGCCAAAGAGAAAAUUCUCUUAGCCGAGGGAACUUGAUGAUGCCAUCUCUGGUAAGUGCAUCUCCUUCUCCACCGUAAAAUAUUUGCUUUAAAUUGUCAGCACGAGCAAUCCUCAUCUGUUCCAGGUUCGUAAGACUUGGAGACAUGGAGACAGGGAAGACAUAUUCCAGUGAAAAACAGAAAGAUAUGUUGAUUUUUUUUAAUUUUGGGAAGCGAGGAGACUCUGGAAUUAUUUCCCUUUCACCAUCCUCUUCUCUGAUAAUAUGCUUUAAUUCACCGCAUUCAUUUAUGCGAAGGCUUUCUAGCUUUGGCAGAUUUCGAGCGAGGGACGGUGUGAAGAUAAAUGUCAGUUUUUUGAGAUCUGAAACUUUCAGAUGAACAAGAUUUUGGAGGCUGACAUGUCUGGUGGGCCCCUUCCAUAUGCAUUUGAGCUCAGGUAACUCUUGCAGCUUUAACAGUGUUAAAGAUGACAGCAGCUCCUUCUCCUCACUGCUUCCUUCAUCAGCCUCACCCAAUUCAAAUACCUCUUCCAAUGAUUUACAGCUGUGAACAAUCACCUCCUUUAGAUUUUUUAAACCUUGCCGCAAUUUUGCUGGAAACAGAGUGAAAACAUCCUCACAAUCCCUCACUUUUACAAAUUCUAAUUUAUGUAAAAACAAUUGCUCAAAUGUCUUCGCAUUGAAGGAUGUACCAGCCAAAAUUAAUCUUGUCGAGGUUGGGUAUCGUCCUGCAUCAAACCGAUUCCCAAAUAUUAUAUCAUAUUUGCGCAAGCUAACUGGAAAAACAAAAUCUCUGGGAAUGCAUUCAACCUUCGGUAUCCACAAUGAUAAUACGGCUAACUGAGACAACGAAUUUAGUUCUGUUAGGCUUGCAUUCAUUCCUCCUGUGCUGUCACAUCCAACAGCAUCCCAUCCCUGAAAGCUGCGAUCCCCGAUCAACAGCUCUUCUAACUUCUUCAACCUUCCAAUCAAAUUCACAGGGAUCCUUCUUAGCCUUUCACAACCUGUCACAUCCAACAACCUUAACUCCUUGAGCUCUCCUAUUUCAUCAGGUAAUUCUUCAAUGGAUAAGCACCGUCUAAGACCAAGAAUCUUAAGUCUCUGCAGCUUUCUCAACCCAAUGAGGUCCUUGCAUCCACACCUGAUCAACACCAACGAUUGAAGUUUCGUUGAGAGUUCAAGUGAUUGCAAUGACAAGCACCCUCCCUUCAGAGACAAAACUUCAAUUUCUGUCAUCCCUUCAAAAAACCUCUGAGGAACAUUCAAACCAGAAUCCACUUCCAAUAAUAGAACUUUGAGCUGUGGGCAUACCAAUCCUUCAGGAAGUUCUGCUAGUUUAUUGCCCAUUAACGAAAUUGUUGUACAACCUUCAAAGCUUUUACCCGUCCAUUGCCAAUUCUCUAACCCUAAGCCAGCCUUGACCAUGAAUCCAUAUUCUUUUGAUGCUAUCUGAAUAGCAACAUCACGAACAAGGUCAUGCAUUUUCACAUGUUCUUCAGUUUCAGAGCCCAACAGCAUGCAACAAUCUUUGAGGUUUUCGAUUGCCACAGAAACUCGUUUCCUUGCAUCUUCAAUGGGCUCCGCAUCUUGAUGUAACCCAUAGCCAACUGCAUAUCUCGUCAAGUCCUCGAUUGGAAUGUCAUAAUCUUCUGGAAAUAAACAGCAUAGCACGAAACAUGACUUGGUUUCCUCGUACUUCAAAUAAUCAUAGCUCAACUUAAGACAUGUGUAAGCAUUAUUUUGUUCAUCAAUUUGUUCCAUGCGCACAAAUUGAGAUUCUUUGAGCUGUUUAGACGCUACUUCCCACUGAACUCGUGAUUUACCUCUUAGAGCCCUUCCCACUGUCACAAGUGCUAUAGGCAAGCCUUGGCAUUCUCUCGCAACCUCCCUUGCCACUGUGUUCAAGGUAGAGUCCCCAUCACGUAAACCUGCAUUGAUACUGAAUAAAUCCCACGCUUCAUCUUCAGGUAAGACUCUUAAAUGCACUUUUUGCUGGCACUCCAUAGAAAAACAUAUGCCUUGAACACGUGUUGUUAGAAGAAUUUUACAACCCCUGUGAUCAUCACCAAAUGGGAUCCCUAUCUCUUUCAAGUCAAUAUGUUUCCAAACAUCAUCCAGGGUUAUAAGCAUCUUCUCCACUUUCUUCAGUCUCUGCCGUAAUCGAUCUGCUCUCCCUUCUUUACUGUUUUCUUCAAUUUUCAAACCUAACAUAUCUGCCAUUCGGUUCUGAAUGUCUAUGACAUUUGGAUUCUGCGACACCGUAGCCAUCAAAACUUCAUCAAAAAGCUGCGACUCUCUGGCUAUCGUGCCUACUCUUUUCACCAGGGUGGUUUUACCCACCCCUCCCAUGCCGUACAGUCCGAUCAUAUUGGCGUUGUCAUCUUUGCGAGCUUUCAUAAUCUGUUCCAAAGCUUCUUUUGAAGAUUCUGAGGGCGUGAAUUCCUUUGAUGGAAGAAAUUCUAUGGGCUGAGGAGGAAAUUUGUGGGCCACUUUUGUAAACUUUGUUUCUGAAAGUCUCCGACUCCUUGGCCAGUGCCUUGCUUAACUUGAAUUGUCGAAUGCAGUUUGGACACCAAGUGAAGCAUUUGCCAUUUUUUCCUAUUUCUUUUUCCAAGGGCUUCGCACCUUCAAUUUUGCUGUUUGCAUCUUCCAUCCACUUUUUGACACCUUUCUUAAUUUCUUCAGCAUUCCUUUCAGCAGCUUCGACUUCUUUUUGCAGACCAUCUAGUGCUAAAGCAAGGUUCUCCUUUUGUUCUUUGAAUUCUUCAACAAAAUUGUUGAAACAGAACAUGUAACGGAACUGCCUUCCUACUGGUUCCACCAUGAGUUCUGCUAUCUUAGAUAUAAUGGAUCCACCCACACUUUCG